rnacentral:lncRNA from 1 species
UUCUGUUAGUCCAGUGUAUUGAAGGUCAUGGCCUAGUCAAGUAUGGUCGCCCAUUGAGUCGUGCAUAUGUUUCAUAUGAUUGGAGCAGGGGCCCAGUUUGUGCCGAUUGUCAGUGCAUAUGUUUAACAGUGAUUCUACUUGUAUAUGUGUUAUUACACUAGUAGAAUUUGUACCUGUGCGAUGACUGGAGCAGGAUCCCAAUAUUUGUAGAGAUUGUAACAUUGAUUGUCACUGUAUACAGAUUGAUUCUGGUUGCUGUUACUUUAAGUAUUUCUUAUGUUUUAUGUCUGUGUUGUUUUAAAUAUUGAUUAUUUAUUUACUGUCAAAUCAAAAUCAGAAGAAAAAGGCAUUGACAAAAGGGGCCCACUUACUAGAACUUGACCACUGGGACCCAUCUAACUAGAGGAUUUUUUUGAAAGAAGAAAAAUAAAACUGUCUAGCCGAAAAGGCCAUGACCCAAAAAUGAGAAGGCUUAAUUGUUGGGCUUGGCCCAUCUACCUGACCAAAAUUAAUAUGAGAAAAAAACAAAUAGGCUGAAUUGUUGGGCUCGGCCCAUGUAAAACACCGAAUAGGACCGGGCUGGUUCUUGUGCCACAUCAGCUUGCCACGCUGGAUGCCUACAUGGUCUGGGGAGGUUGCUAGUGACCAAAAAUUUGGUCGUGGAACCAGCCAACUUUUGACCUUCUGUUUUUGGUCACAAAAAGGUCGCAAAUAAAAAACUAGGACGUUGAUAAGUGCCACACGUGUGGGCGUUAGGGAGUCUGCCCACACAUUUUGUGUGGUAUAUAAAAGGAACAGCCCACACACCUACGUGUGGGCAAAACAAAUAAUGCCCACACACCUUUUCCCCCCUCCCGAUCCCUCUCACACGCGUGCGUGUGGGCGAAAUAGAUAACGCCCACACACCCCGUACGUCAGGCCUCGUACCUCGUGGUACCGCAUGCCCCGCGUUACAGUCACCGCGCGCCCGCAGUUGCCAUGGUCCAGACCCUCGUCCAUGUUCGUUUAACUGCAGUUGCCAUGUCGCUGAACUUCGGUUUCCAUGUCGGAUAACUACAGUUGCCAUGGUUGCUCAACUGCAGUUGCCAUGUAUGGUCUGGUCUACUGCAGUUGCCAUGAUUACAAAACUUUAGGAGUUGCCACCCACUAACACUAGACAGUUGCCAUGUAGCACUACAAAAAAGGCAUGGCAAAAAAACAUGUUCGGGUAAAAGAGAGAGUUGCCAUGUGCUAACAAGUACGCUAGGGCAGUUGCCAUGUAAAAUAAAGAGUUGCCAUCUGCUUAUGUGCACGCUAGGGUAGUUGCCAUGUACCAUGCAAAAACACAUGACAACUCGGGGAAAAGAGAGUUGCCGUCUGCUUACAAGCAAAGCUAGGGCAGUUGCCAUGUACCCUGCAGAACCACAUGGCAACUGCUAGCUUUGGGUGUGGGCGAGGAGACGGGCGUGUGGGAGAAGUGAUAAACACCCACACACCAGCCCCCUCUGCGUGCGUGAAAACUAGUGUGUGGGCGAAUUGCUAAACGCCCACACACCAGCCCCCUUGUGGUAAAAAAGGACGUGUGGGCGACCGGAUGAAUGCCCACACACCAGCUUUGUCAUACGUGGCACACAAAAACUGCUAGAACGCACCAAGAUUCGUGCAGAAUUGGUUGGACGAGGAUCCAUGCGUGUGGGCGAGUUGCUAGAUGCCCACACGUGUGGGCGUUAGUGUUUUCGAAAAACUAUGACCUUUCAGCGACCAAUAGUGGUGGUCACAAGUUGACAUAUUUCUUGUAGUGAUAGGAGGUCCGUUUCCUCCGUUUUGCGGUACGCCAGACCCCUCCCGAUGAACAGGAUCCCGUUUCGAAUGUGGCCGGUCGAACACAAGGCCGUUUCCUCCGUUCUGCGGUAUGCCAGGCCUCGUUUCCAUCGACUGUUCCAUCCAAGCCCUCCCGAUGAACACGACGAUGCAUUCCGUUCUGACCCAGCCGGUUGGCUCCCCAUUAACACGACGACGACGCUGUUUCUCCGUUCCGACCCAGCCAUGUACACGAGCCCUGGCCGUACGUACGUGCGAGUAGGCGUCCGAGACCCUGCCCGUAUGUACGUACGUGGCCGUAUUUACUUUCUUGCACCCUGGCCGCUGUACGUACGUGUACAUGCUACGUGCGCGCCUCUACUACGACACGUGCGCGCCUCUACAUCGACCAGUAUGUACGUACACGUUCGCGACCAGAAUGACAACGCUAUGUACGCUUCGACCAGGUGGGUCCCUACUGUCAGGCACUUCCUUGCAUGCGAAGAUGUAGCUGGUGGGUCCCAGCAGUCAGGGGGGCGAAUCGUUUUUUUGCCCGAACGCACUUCCUUGCGUGCGAAGAUGUAGCUGGUGGGUCCCAGCAGUCAGGGGGAAACCUUUUUUUGCAAAAUACGGUGGCCUGUCUGGUGUGUCCCCGCUGUCAGGUGGAGGAAUAAUUAUUUUGCGCGUAAUAAGGAGGCACUUCCUUGCUGCGGCCGUGGACCCAGCUGUCAGCCUCUCCACGUACAGUACUCUUCCGAUGGAAGUCGUUCCUUGACCACGUUGACCACGCCGUGCUGAGAGCACCAGGGCGGUGGACGACGGCGAGGCCUAGGAAGGGGACGACGCGGAGCCGGGGAAGACGUGGCAGUGGAAGCCCGCGCGGAGAGGAGUACGAGGGUUCACUGGUUCGGCUGCGGUGUGAGGCUGCCGUCGCUGCAGGGCCUGGCCAGCGGUGGGAAUAGUAGGGGGCGGUGAGGCCUCCGCGGCAUCACAGCCGGCCACGGGAGGCAGGAGCAUGCGACCCGACCGGCACUGCUUUGGGCGGCUGGAGCAAGAAGACUAGAGGUUGAAGAAGCACUACGGCCGUUGGAUAGACAUCGUACGGUCACUCGAGCUAGAAUCGUUCAUAUUGACUAAGUUGACAAAGCACUCCAUCCCUGUCAACUUAGUAGGCCCACAAGUCAGCCUCCCACCAAGGUGGGUCCCAACUAGCAGGGGGAGUAUACAUUUUUUUGUGCGUAAUAAGGAGGCACUUCCGGUGGGUCCGAGCUGACAGCGGGGGGAACUUUUUUUCGUUAAAUACGGUGGCCCGUCCAGUGGGUCCCAGCAGUCUGGGGGGGAAACGUUUUUUUUGCCAAAUGCGGUGGCCCGUCCGGUGGUUCCCUGCGUCAGGUGGAGGAAUAAUUAUUUUCCGCGUAAUAAGGAGGUACUUCCUUGCGGCUGCGGUGGACCCAGCUGUCAGCCUCUCCACGACAGUACUCUUCCGAUGGAAGUCAUUCCUUGACCACGUUGACCACGGCGCGCCGAGAGCACCAGGGUGGUGGACGACGGCGAGGCCUAGGAAGGGGACGACGCGGCAGUGGAUGCCCACGCAAAGAGGAGUACGAGGGUUCACUGGUUCGGCUGCGGUGUGAGGCUGCCGUCGCCGCAGAAUAACAGGGGGUGUGGGUGAGUAGAGGGAUGCCCCGGCCAGCGGUGGGAGUAGUAGGGGGAGGUGAGGCCUGCACGGGAGGCGGGAGCAGGCGGUCCCGCCGGCGCUGGAUUUGGCGGCUGGAGCCAGAAGAUCAGAGAUUGAAGAAACACGACGACCGUUGGAUUAACAUCCAAUGGUUACGUCUGCUAGAAUUGUUUGUUGACGUAUAUAAUAACUAAAAAAAUCUUGCAUACGCGUCAACUUAAUAGGCCCAUAAGUCAGACCAUUCCCUCUUUUUAAAUAAUUUAUAUAUAGCUCAUUGCGACUUCUUAUGCAAUUUAUUGCAGUCCAUUUUUUUGGUUGGCCAGGGCCAAUUUCGCAUAUUUCUGUGGGUUCCAAACUAUUUUUAAUACCGAAAUGUCUAGCCAGAUGUAAAGUACUUUGAAGAUAUAUUUAAAUUAGGUUAAUGCCCAGUGAAAUAGGAAUCUGAAAAUGUGAAAAAAAUUCAGAAAUUAUAAAGUAGUUGCCAAUUUGUCAUCUGUUUUUAUAUUCACAACCCAUUUCAUAUUACUUUCAAGAUUUGCAGGCGUCUUGAAAGAGUUGCAGCCCAUCAGGGCGUAGAAAAAUAAAUAGGCCUGGAUUGGGUAUUCUUCAGAAAAAAUAAACUGGGCUCAUUUUCACAAAGAAAAAAUAGCUGGGCUGGUCACAUGGUGAACAUAAAAUAUAAGCCUGGGCUAUACGGGCCACAUCCCAGUUCAAACCCUGCUCCGUGUCAACAAUAACAAAAAAAAUACUGCUCGAGCAGCUACGUCCCAGGUGUCAACCGAUCUUGUGCUAUUCUCUUGUCUAUUGACUAUAUACGCUCAAAAUGUCGUGGGUCCCAGAUGUCAGGAAAACACUAGGAGGAAGCAUUUUAUUUUUCCAUACGCUGACAUGGUGGGCCCGUACUGUCAUCCUCUCCACGUACUUCUGCCGAUUCCUAUUGUUUGUUGACCAUGUUAACAACGCGAGAGGGCGGCGCCGUGGCGAGCGCACCAAAGCGCGCGGAGGACAACGGCAAGGCCUCGGACGUCGGCGUUAACGAUUUAGGAGGCGGUGGGGCGGCGAUGCGUGCGCUGAGGUGCAGCCAGCCAUGGGAGGCGGAAGCAGGCGGCCCCGUCGGCGCUGGUUUGGUUUUGGCGGCUGGAGGAAGACAGGACUGAAGAAACACGACAGACUGUAAAAGCAGCAGGAGUACUUAACAACCUUAACUUAAACCAGCAGGUGCACUUAACAACCAUAGCUGAAAGCAGUAUGAGUACUUAUACAGGUUCAACCAUACAAAGCACACCUCGAACCAUGCUACUUUGCCUACAGUUAACCAAGGGUGAGGCUGCCAAGCCCCAGGACAAGGCCCAGGCGCCACCCCGCGCAUCCACAACCUUCUGAAAGCGGCUUCAUCUCGCAAUGUGGUCAAUAAACAGGAUAUUCGCUUUAGAGCCAUGGAAAAGCAGGAACAUAAUCUUUUGUCCUAUUCUCCAAGACGGACGGGCCUUCAUUAUUUGAGACCACCCAUGAAUAAGUAUCUUUUCACCUCCAAGGGGAAUGGAGUAGGUCGACAUAAACAUCAUGUUGUGACCAAGCGCAAGUCUGACCCGACCAUGGUCAGGCAUCUGUAUAGGAACAAUAGAACUGGGCAGUUUCUAUUUCAAGAAGAUCACAGCUGUAAAACUGUGUAUAAACAAUAGUUUAUGAACAACAUAUAUAACAGAAAACAGCUCGUACCAUAAGUUUCUCGACACAGUUGGACCUGUUCAACGAGUGCAGCAGUGGCACACAUUUCCCACGUGGCCUUCCACCAUUGAAACGCCCCACAAGGACCUCAAGACGAUCAAUAAAGUGUAGGAACUUGUGGAUGUCGUCCCAGUCAACUUCAGUGCCAUCAGUAACAGCCGUGUUGUUACAGAAUAACAAACGAGCAGCAUGCUUAACUCUGAAAAAACCUACACGUGCCACCAAUUAUAAGAAAAUAUUAGUUAGAAGUAGCAUCUUCGUGAGAGAUUCGUUGCUACUUCGAAUUUCAUUAGUUAGACAGAAUAGGUGGAUUAAGAAGUAAUCGAGGCAACAAGCAAGAACUAGAUACAAAAUUAACACGGAUGAACAAUUGGAACGAUGUCGGGGUGGAAGAUCGCAGUGAAGAUGAGCCAACUUUCAGUCUGUAACACUUGAGAAAGUUUAUCCAAGUUCGGCCAUAAAAAAAGCAGCGAUCUUCUUGGUUCAUGAACCCAACUCAGAACUUAUAUCCAUGGCUUGUCUUCACUGUGACCAUUAAACUGGUGUAUUCAGUUAUGGCAAGGCCGAGCAUCUUGAGUACAUGUGUUCUGGCAGAGCAAAUAAUGCACUGCAGGAAAAAUAAUAUGAGAACACAAUGUAUUCCCUAUCCAAAUCUAGAAAUAACUUCCUCCUUCAUGUCAGUGUUGACCAUCGUACUGGUAGUACCUUUUAUCCAAAUAUAGCAAUCCCAAUUUCCAAAUUAGUCGACAACAUGUUCAAAAAAAAACCCCACCCUCCUGGAUAGAAAAGAGGAUUCUAGGAACAUACUGUGCGCGUUUUAAAAUCCUGUGUUAGGAUGAGAAGGAACAAGUGUGGCGUCUCACCGAUGGCGCAGAAACCUGUAGGGUCCUCGCACUUUGGGCACUGCAAAUGAAACACACUAGAUUCAGUAGGAAGAAAAAUGCAUCAACGGCGGCGGCUGCCAUCCUAGGAUUACCCGCGACCAAGGCACUUGGAUUUAUCGGGGAUGGAUGAAGAAUUCGUACCUGGUUCUCCAUGAGAAAACCCUAUGCAAUCGCCGAGAGGGGGUUUUCUCUGAACAAGGAGACGAGGGAGAAGGGGAUUCAGGCCCGGUGAAAUAUUGCGCUUAGACCGUCCAGCUUACUGCUAAAGCUGGAAGGGGGGGGGUUUGUGAUUUGUCGGCUCAUUGGGCAUUACUACGGCGCUACGACCGGGGUGUGUCUACCGUGCAGUUGUGCACUCUAAUUUGUGCAUAUGGCACGUGGACCCCAUUGCCGGAUGCUCCACAUAUCAGCGAAAGGAAGUAGAAAGACAUGAGUAACUAGUUACACAAAAAUAUAUUUUUGACAGAGAGAUACUCCCUCUGUAAAGAAAUAUACAAAUCUUUUAUAUAGCAACUUUAUACAUAAGAAAAAUCAAGGGGAAUAUAUAUAACAUAUAUAAUUAUAAAAAAUAGAGUUGUUUUUAACACAGUAUACACGAGUUGGUGAUGAUGGUGUGCCUGCCAUCCUACAAUAUAGGCCGUCCGAUUUAUAUCUGACAGAUAGGAAGGAAACUAUGGCAAUUUUGCAAAAAGGUACCCACACACCUCUACACAUUUGCAAAUAAGGCCUUCCCUCGUUCAUCCUUUUUCUCUCACAAGAUAAAAUACUCAUACAAAUGCAUCUUGAUGUUACGUGCAACGCACGGGCAUUAUGGGGGUUCAACUGAGAAUAUAAUACUCAGACAGGCUCACGGUUUUGGACUUUGGGCCGCAGGCCCACCCUGCAUGUUUGGGGGCCCAUGUGUUCAACCUCAGCGCUUUUCAUAUUGCAAGCGAUCGGUACGGCGCUGGUUUUAGAUGCUGACGCAAGGCGAAUACACAAAAUUGAAUAAAGCACGACAACUAUUGGAAUGAAAUCAAACGACAGUUCCUAACCAGCAAUGAGAGUUGCAAUUCUAUCAACGAUAUACCAUGUGAUAAAUAAUACUAUCGUAUUACUUAUACACACAGGACACUUGUUUCACUAUGCCAGAUUAUUACAUCAAAAUCUCUCGUAGGAUAGAUCAGUUCGGCAGUUGCGUGCUGCUACUGAAGAAUUUCAAAGUUGAUUUGGACCAGCUCUCCUUGCCGAGAAAGUUCGAUUUUGAGAUCAUCCCCUACCGCAAGAUAUGAUUUAGAUUUGAACCUUGACCAUCCUUUAGCAUCAAUCAUCAUGCGACCAUCCUUUGUACUUACGGUAUGUUGAGCAGGUUCAUUCACACCAAGGCUACACAUGGUAAGAGAAACUUGGCCGUUGUCGCCCGGAUUGUUGAACGACUCCCUCGUUGCUCUAGGAAUUCUCUGUUUGCAAACAAGAAGACAUACCCAAACAGUUAGAUCAACACAGUGAAUCAUGUGAAACAACAUGGAAAGAAAAAAGAACGAAACACUUGGGCGGCCAAUGCUUACCAAGAAGGUGGACAUGUCGGUUUUUGUAAGGACUUUGGUAUAUGAAGUGCGAACUGCAGCCCAGUCUGUUGCCGGUGCAACUGCUCGUUCGGUUGCCGCUGCACGGACCGGAGCAGGUGCAAGUGCAAGUGUUGGUGCAGGUGCCGAAGCCGCUGCUGCUGCUGGAGAUGGUGCUCCUUGUAGAGCUGGUGCCGGUGUCGGAGCAGGUGCCGGUGUCGAUGCCCGAUCCUCCGGUAGAUCAGCCUGAUCCGCUGACGCGGUCGGUGCCCAAUCCUCAGCUGGAUCAGACCGAGCUGCUGCGGCUGUCAGUGCUAGAGCAACUGCCGGUGCUCGAUCCGUUGCUGAAGGUGGUACCGAUGUGCGAGACAGCGGCGAUCGUGUCUGGUCUGCUAUGAUUAGCUUUCUAACUUGACUAGGCUUCGUGACUGUGAUCCAGUUUUUUUCUCCAUUUCUUUUAAACGCGAGAAGGACUAAUUGUGGCGUUUUUGUUAAACCAAACUGCAGUUCAUCAUAGGGAUUCAGCUUGUACUCAGACAACAGACUGAUCCAAUUUUUUCCAGUAAUAUAAGUGAUGGACAAUGCCUUCGUUACUGACACGACAUAAGAAGUGAAACCUACAAAAAUAGCCAUCGUAGAGCAAACCAAACGGUUUAUUCUGUGAUGAAUGUCACAUGGCAAAACCUGCAUCGUAAAAUUGCAGGAAAAGAAAGAAAACAUGACAUUAAAUCAAUAAGGUUUAGACAGUAAAUCAAUAAGAUUUACUUGAUGUGACACGAGUGAAUCCUUACCAGGAAAUCACUAUGUUGAAGUACUAAACAGAAGAUUGAUCGUCCAACUACAGGUGGCAUGCAGGGCCCCCGCCUACUCUCACAAGCAGGACAGUCCAAAGGUCGUGACAAAUCGUAUGGACCGAACAUCCAUGGGACUGGAAAUCCUGGUGGGUGCGAUAAACCCUACAAUGCAUACAGAUAUUGGAGUGUAACCAUAAUUGAUAAACCGUCCUCACAAAAAAGAUGAUCUGGAUACUUCAAAAUAUACAGACUGAAUUGAGUGGACAGACAUUAACAUAGACCGUUCUCAGGACUGACCACACACCAAAAGCGGCAGUACUAAUAAACAAUACAGGGUUCACAACCACAAAUCAAGUACUGAACAAUAGUACUUACUACAGACAAGCAAAGUUGCACUAAUUAAACUCUGCAGACUAUUUCUUGCCACCGACCUACGGGAUGAACCCCGCAUAACUGACUAGGCCCUGGACUACGUGAGAGAUGUCUACAUGCACCAUCACUAUCUCGUCAACCUUGGAGAACCUAACAGAGUGGUCUUUCCACUCAUAAACAUGAUCAUGAAGACAGGCCGCAUCAGAUUUGUUGGGAAGCUUUACAAGAACCACACCCUUCGUAAUCGAAGGCACAACCAGGAAAUUGUUGUGGUCAAGUACAACCUCGAGAACACGCCUGACAACAAUGCUACAAGAAAACACUAGCUCAGGACACGUGGCGACAAGGACACAACAGCUGGAUAGUUUAGCAGUAGAACUCAUCCUCAGGUCUUCCAGUUCACACGACAUAACUUUGAGAACUUCAUCUCCACUGCGGACCUGGUUCUAAUUCAAACAGAAACCAUAUUUUAUUACUACCUCCGUUCAGAAAUAUAAGAUGAUUUUCGAUAUUAUACUCAAUAUAUGACUACAUAUACGCACAGAAAUGAGUGAACAAAGACACUAGAACAUGUCUUCAAAGACAUGAGAGCAGAGGGAUUACUUGCAAUAUCCAUAACACAAGUUACUGAGGCAAAUAUACCCUCUUCAAAGGUAGCAUUGAUGUUCAUAAAGUACUCCCUCCGUCCCAAAAUUCUUGUCUUAGAUUUGUCUAGAUACGGAUGUAUCAAGUCACAGUUUAGUAUUAGAUACAUCUGUAUGUAGACAAAUCUAAGACAAGAAAUUUGGGACAGAGGGAGUAGUUGAAAGUAAUCUAUAAGAAAUCAGUGUCAACCUCUCGCAUGUUUUGGUCAAAAGAGGAAUUUAGAACCGUCAUUUGGCACACAAAAAUCACAUGCAAGAUGACCCAGAAAGUUGUACUACUAGUACUAGUACUCGUGUUAGAUGAAAAAACACGAUCAAGAUCGAGAAAAAUAUCGUCAAGAAGAGAUAUUACCUGGACUUGCUUAAUGAGGGAUCCCGGAGAGGGGGGCUUGGACAGGGCGAUGGAUUUGAGCUUGUCUGCGGUAGUCUCGGAGGGGUGCAUGCGCUUCUUCGUACCAUGAGCCUCGACGGUUUUGGACAGAGCCAUAGACAUCACUUCGGCCGGUGCUCCAGCGUCCAUCAAGAAACUGUCAAAUAGAAAUAAAAGAAAAGAAACCAUAAUCACAAACCCAAAAGAAGAAAAGAGAGGGAGUUAUAGGAUCAGUCUCGGGGUUGCAAGACCGGGCCUUGGCCAGAAUCAACACCAUUGAUGCGCUCAUCUUUGGGAGAGAAGAACAAUGGCAGAAGUAGGUCGGGGUUUUCUUGAAGAAAUGAGGAACAAGAUGACGGAGAAACGAGUUGGGUACGGAGGAAGCUGAGAGAGAAGAUUGAAAUGAUGGUUGCUUCGUCCGUCCAACUUACUGCUGGAAAGGAGGGGGUUUUGUGAUUUGACGGAUCAUUGGGCAUUACUGCGGCGCUUCGAUCGGGGUAGUCUACCAUCACUCUACUAUGGAGUAAUUUAGUGCACGGCUGGUGGACCCCGAUGCUGGCUGUCCCACACGUCGGUGAAAGUGAGUAAUUUAGUGCAUGGCUGGAGGAGGAUCCGCAUGGUAGAGCGUGUCCACUGUUUUUCUGAAGAAAAAAAGAUUACAGCAAGCGUUUCCACUCUUACGACGGAGGAGUGCGAAACACGGCAGCCACUUGAACAUACACAGUGCUCCUACUACUAGGCAUGUGCAGUGGUUCAUACGUUAGUACUACAUAAUCUUGUUGCUAGUGUAGUAAGAUAUGACGACAACAAAUGAUGUUGUGCGCAUGUCAACUAUAUGAACAGUAAUGUAGUAACAUAGUAUCGCUUUCUCGACUGUCCAGUCGAGAAUGAACGGUGAGAUCAGUAUUAACAAAACUAGGUCUACAGCACACGGAGAGUACGGUGCUACAGUACUCCACGAAACAUGAACCAUAUGAAGCACGAAUAGUGUUAGGCAAGGUGUAUGAAGGGUGCACGGGAUGGGAGCAAAAGUUCCCUUCUCGACCCACUUUUGGGUGUUUGGCAGAGUGCAUGAAGGGUGCAUGAGUCCACACUAGUAGGUUAACACAAAUACACGAAGAGGAAACAACUACUUAAUGUCUUUUUGCUAAUUAAUAGCAUUGCAUGCAAUGAACUAACCACUGCAUGUCAUGUUUAUUAGUCUCAAGUCAUUGAAAGCAUGCACGGCCCACGUCUCUUAUUGGUUGAUAUGUCACAAAACAAGAAACAAGGAGGGAGUUAAUGUACUGUGCCUAAGUGUUUUGGGAUUAUUUGGUUUUCGUAAGGUGACUUACACACCUAGACAGAGGGAGUAUAUUGAGAUGAGAAUGCAACCAAACACACCCACACGCUUUGUGCUACAGUGAUUGAUCUGCACCGUCUGAGUUUGAUCCAACGGUCAUGUUGCACCGAGACAUGGACAUGCCCAUGCAGAGGGCGCCUAAACACCACCGAAGUCCCUCUGCUUCUUGGGGCGCACGACGUUGGCGAUGCAGGGGCGAAACGGCUGAAAGGCAAUGCAAUCUACGGGAAGGCGGAGGGAGCCAGCCGAGGAGCGGGGAAUCUUUUGGUUUUCACCAUGGUAAAACACCAGUCGACGACUUCUCACAUCAGGGAGAAGUGGGUUUUACAUGCGGAGUCAUCGUGACUAAUUGCUGCCGCGCCUGCUCCCGUCAAUCAAAAAAUUAAAAAACCUGCCGCGCCUGCUCCCGUCAAUCAAAAAAUUAAAAAUCCUGCCGCACUCAAACACCAGAGCAAUGCCACGGUGGAUGUUUAAAUUUACCCGCCGACAAGUAGAUAAAAAAAGGGGCGAAAAAACAAAUGUGGCGGCGGCCAGGCUAAUUGAUUGAACUAGCCCAACUAGCUAGCCACCGUGCUUCACUGAUGUACUCGGCGGGAAAAGUGGUCUUUCGUGAUUUGAUGACUCAUUUACUUGCUUCGGCGAAAACGCGCGGUAGGGCAUCCCACGUCAGGAAGAAUAUAUUCGUGCACCACCCGGGAGGACCCCGAAACCACGUAUUAGGGUGUGCCAUGUCUCGGCACGGAGGAAAAAUGUGCGUGUAAAAAUUUACUGUAUCAGACAUAGUACCUAUGGUUCGACCUCGGGACCCAGCCAGUCGGUCGAAAACACCCCACUAGCCACACAACUUCACCAUGCUAACAUGGCACGGAGGAUAGGUGUGGUUAGCUCCGUCUCGACCAGCCACAACAUCUCUUGUUCUAGGCGAUUCUUCUAUUUUCCAAGCUUUUUUUAGUUGUAAUAACACCACGGCAAGCUAGCGCCGCUCUUCAUGUGUGCCCGUGCAAAGGUUAGACAAUGGACAAAAGAGAGAGAACGCAGACCUGGGACCCACCAGUAAGUGAGUCAACGGUCAUGCACGUGUUGACGAGGCACUCCCUCUACUCUAAUCAACGUAAUACUGUAUAAAAUCAAGUUAUGGGACAAAGCCAACAACCGUUGUUGUUUCAGGCUAUCGACUUACGCUUUGUAGUCCAAGUUGCCAGUUCGAAUCUCGUCUUUCAGAUUUGUUAGUUUUAGGUCCAAAUUUGAUUAAUGACAAGUGGGAACCCCGUGUGUUGUUCCGAUAUUUCAGUGUAGGAUGUUUUUUUUGAACAAACACUUUGUGCGGUUAGACAUGUAACGUCACAAGUUACACGUAUUUUGCAAGUUUACGAACAAAAAUGACAGCGGCAUAGAAUAUCACAUCUACCCCGCAGCUUAGAUGCGAUGGUGAUACGAGUUUUUACACCGUUGGAAGUGAGAUCCAAUGGCUUGGGAGUAGUCUUUGUAAUUAUGCGCAAUUUCCAAACUCUCCAAAGGUUUUUUUUGCAAAUAAAACAUUCAGGCCUCGUGUGUGCCGCUGCAUCUUGGAUCCAACGGCUCCCCGUUGCUCAUAUUAGGUGCUCCCCGUAGCUUAAUUACCCGCUACAGUGAUAUGAGCAUCUAGGUUGUAUGAUCAGUGAUUAGAUGGCACAUGCGUAGUACUUGUACUUUCCGCGCAAUUCCCAAACUCUCUCAGCCGUAUAUUGCAAAAACAUUCAAACCUCCUACUGUGGGCCGUUAGAUCUCCGUGAACUCGUAUCACCAUAGAAUCUACGGCACGGGAGCACCUCAUAUUCUCCCGUGCGAGAAAACAUAAGGUGCUCUCGCAGCUUGGAUGCUACGGUGAUAUGAGCUUCGAGGUCGUUUGAUCUCAGAUCCAAUGGCAUCUGAGAAGUCUUUGUGCUUGUAAGCAUUGGCCGAACUCUUUGUGGGCUUUUCUGCAAAAAACCAUUCGAACCACCGAGGAGGUGUUGGGUCACAAAUCCAACGGCUCCGAAGAGAUUGUAUCACCAAAGCAUCUAAGGUGUGGUAGCACACGAUAUUCUUACAUACAGGAGAAUAUGAUGUCCUCCUUCAUCUUAGAUUCUACGGUGAUACGAUCUUCGAGGUCGUUGGAUAUGGGAUCCAAGGGCAUCUGAGUAGUUUUUGUACAAAUUGUGUGCAAUUCUCAAACUCAUCAAGGUUUCCUGUAAAAAUAUUAAGACAUCAUGUGAGCUGAUAUAUCUCAGAUCUACAAGCUCCAAGCAACUUGUAUCGGCAUAUAGCAUCUAAGGUAUGGGGGCACAUGAUAUUCUCCCGGUGAGGAGGGGUGGGGGUGCACAACCAAUCGGUGGUUGGGAGGGAGGGGACAAAUAUAAUCUAAACAACCCUAAACAGAGCUUCACAAUUUUAUCUAAGGUCGAGGGGGUGACCCCCGACAAUCAUAGCUCCGCCUAAUUAAACACAACAUUUGCAUGUACUGUAGUACUAGACUUAAUAUUCAUGUUUCAAUUUCAUGUUCGUUUUAAAUAUUGAAUUGAGGACCAUGCAUGUCUUACAUUUUACUCCCUUCGUUCCUAAAUAUUAGUUUUUUUAGAGAUUUCAAGUGGACUGGCACAUACAGAUGUAUAUAGACAUAUUUUAGAGUGUAGAUUCACUCAUUUUGCUCCGUUUGUAGUCGCUUGUUGAAAUCUCUAAAAGACUAAUAUUUAGGAACAGAAGGAGUAUUUUUGAAUUCGUGUCAUACAUGCAUGGUUUGGAAAAAUAGAUGCACUCUAAUUAUUGGAUUGUUGUUGUGUUCGUGUGUGGGUGUCCGUGUGUGUGUGUGUGGUCAUAUGCUUGAUACAUACAAACUUUUCUCACCUCCAUAUUGUUCAUCUUUUAAAUUUGAAUUUGCAUUGAAAAACUUAGCAGGGAUACCAUGAAAUGUGAAAUCCACGUUGAGAUCACUAUAUCACAAACUCACUCUAAUUCAACAACUCGUCAUAAAUCAAUUACCACGUUGAGAUUAGUAUUUGCAAGGAAAAUACGGGCAUUGUAAUACACAUAGAUUCAUUCGGUAAUUUAAAAGGUUCCUUUCGUAUUCUCGAGUGGUAGGACCCAACGGCAUACCAGCCAGACCUUGGCUUGUGUUGAUCCUAAAACUGGGCUCGUGUCCUUCUGGUGGCGUGCAUGGUACGCACAUUAGGCAACCCCAACCAGUCGAGCCUCCGCGUUUGAGUCGAAAUAUCUGGCGGCCAGAAUUCCAGCCCUAGGAAAUUCCCCUCAUGUCCCCGGUCCAUAAUGACUACCGAUGAACAACGUAGGGAUGCUUUAGUAACUAGACAACGUUACCUACCGUGCCGAGCACGGUUCAAUUCCCUCGGUCGCCGCUCGCCAAGGUCACCCGUCAACUGCAUUGCCUAGUACUACUACUACUACUACACCAGGAUGAGCACAGAAUUGAGCCCGUUUGUUCAUGCCUAGUACUUGACUUAAUAUAUCAGGCAAUGCACUGGUACAGAGGGAUUAUCCUUUUGCUCUACAUAUAUAUAACUUGUCCGAAGUCUAAUUAAGCAAAAUGUUUGACCAAAUCCUUUCUUAAGAAAUACAACAGGACAAAUAUUGUUUCGAAUCCUGGAUCUUAAAUUUCAGAAAAUCCAAAAGUGACCAUGAAUUCUAUAAACUGAGCAUGGUCACGUGAAAUGGCACAAAUAUUACUUCGUAAUUUUUUUCUUCAAUUUGAGACAAGUUGCUUAUGACAAGUUGCACAAAUGAAGAGCCAAGGUAUUUUGGAACAAAGACCUGUCACGUUAAGGCGAACGCUUUCACUAUUGAAACCGUGGGCGUUUACGUGCCGCCAUGAGUCCCGCUUCUCAUCGGCAGGUGCCGUCCGAGCAAGCGUGUGAGUCGACGGGAGGCGUGCGAGCAGACCGCUGCGCUGGCUGACAGGGAGGCGUGCGAGCAGACCGCUGUGCAGGCUCACCGGGAGGCGAGCCCUUUGACCAGGCUCCGCCGUCCACCUUCGUCUCAACUGCUCCCACUUUUAAUGUCACCGGCGCCACAGUUUAAAAUCAACCCCGCACUACCCGGUAUCGCUACCAUCUUCUCUCUUCCUCUCCGAUUCUCCUGUCGUCUACCUCCAACCAGCCUGACCUAAACGUACGCCAUGCCGCAUCACGAUGGUCUGCCCUUAAUCUUCCAGUUUCCUGAGGAAGGCACCCAGCCGGAGUCUCAAGAACAUAAGGCACUUUGGGACGAGCUUGAACUGGCCUUGCGGGAAGACGCCGCGCCUGUCCCCGCUCCCGUUCCGGCUCCCGUCGCCCCGACUGCGCCAGCGCCCAUCCCCGUGGCAUUGAUGGGCUGGGAGCCGCACAUUGUCGUCGAGCUUGAUGCCAUGGGGUUCCACGAGGUCCCCGCCGACUUUCACGCGCCCUUGCACCUGCCAGCGCAUGCGCCUGCGCGUGCACUGACGCGCACGCCUGUGCCGGUGCACCUGCCAGCGCAUGCGCCUGCGCGUGCACUAAUGUGCGCGCCUGUGCUGGUGCCCGUGCACACGUAUGUCUCCGCCGCGCCGUUGACAGUGCCUGUCCCCGCGCGGAUGGUAGUGUCCCCCUCAGCGGCAUGGAUGGCCGCCGUCGACCGCUUCCUUGCACCAACGCUAGUCGCCUCCUCCCGCCAGUUGACUCGCUCCGAAGUCCACAACAUUCUGGUCUUCCUUGAAGUUAGGCCUACGUCCAGGAGUACGCCAACAACGGCGCAAGGCGCCGCCGUCGCCGUCGGUCAGUGGCCCGACGACACACAGAGCACGGCAGAGGAGCUGCUUCCCACCGCAAGACGCCCCCGCCACCGCCGCGUAAUCUAAAUUUGCCAUGAAAAACGUUCGGAUUGCCAUGCUUAAAAUCUGAACGUUUGUCAUUUCCGUUUAUUUUAGAUCGAUCGUCGUAUGAUUUAAAGUUGGAGUUAGACUGAACGAAAUCUAUGGUUUGAUCGAUUGAAUGUUCUGCUACAGCCGUAUCAAAUUAAAUAUAAAACGUCAUCAAGCCACAUGUAUUCCUUGUCAUCCAACGACCUAGACUGCUUCAAUGUCGAGCGCUCAACACGUUUAGCGUGCAGUUAAUUUCAUGCCAAAAAUAGUGCUAAUCACAUAAUAACACGCAAAUAAUAUCCUACUUAAUAUCCGCAUGCACUUAAUAUACUUCCAAAUUAACGUGCAUUACACGUACACACUGACUAGUGCUGCUAGCACGUGAAACUGGUGGCGUAACUUGUGAAUGCGUCCAAUAUGGUCAACGGUAACAUCGGCCGCGAGUUCUUCGUGUUUGCCCGUGCGUCUAAACGCAGAAGGGGAGGAGAGAGAGAGAGCACACAUGGAACCCACCAGUAAGUGAAGGCGAAUAGUACUAAAAAUAAUAUUACAUGUUAUUAAUUAAAUAGGCUGUGGUAACAUAAAAACAUUAUGUGAACAAAGGGAGGUACAACAAACAUUGUUGUUCUACAUAUGUUGCCUAUUGACGUGCGGCUUGAAGGCCCUGGUCGCAUGUUCGAUCCUCAUCCUUUAUUUUUUAAUUUGUAUACGGGUCCAAAUUUGUUUCAUGACAUGUGGGCCCCUCGGUGUGUAGUUUGUAGCACUUUAAUUUGUGGGUCCAAAUUUGUUCCAUUCCAAGUGGACUAUCGGUGUGUAGUUUUGUAGCUUAUUUAUAAUAACUAGCAAAGUGGCCCGCUCGAUGCGCGGGCUAGGAUUUUACAAAUGCAAUUUACGUUGAUCAUUGACGUUUUUUUUGCGACUGAAAAAGAAUUUUAUUUCUCAAUCAUCUGGUUGUCAUGCGUAGAAAGAUGGGGAUGUCGGACGAAAGUUGGGACCAAGCUUGGUGACAUAUACAAAUAAAUUCCAUUUGCAAACAUAAUAUUAUCUUAGAUAUAUUUGGUUUUCUUGUUGACAUUUGAAUAUAUAUGUUUCACAUGAGUCAUGUACCUACAUGUUAUGUGUUUUUCCACUAAUUGUAUUUCUUUAUGAUCAAAACCAUUGCACAAUUUAUGUCUAUGUGCUUUUAUUGUCUCCCUGGCGUGGUUCUCUAUUUUAAGAAUAUUUUUGUGUAAGCACGCAGUUGUUACUGGUUUCAUAUAGGCAUAGGUAAAUUUCCUAAGGACUUAAAAAUGACACAUUCAAUUACUUAUGACCUGUAGAUGUGUGUACCAAUACUCUUCUAGUUAUGUAUAUAUACAAAUAUAAAUGAAGUUAUAGCUAUUAACAUGCAAUAUUAAAAUAAUUUUUCUAGUAGCAAUACUAUCAAGGACAAUAAAGUUGCAAAGUUUGUAUGGUUUCAUCAGCAAGAUAAUAGCGAUUCAUACAGUGUUAUUCGUUAAUUAGAGACAUUUCAACAAACAUGUCCUACAAGCUAUGCGUCCCUUCCAUGAGACAUAACACCGUUGACUGAAAACAAAUAGAAGAUACAAAUAUCAAAAAGUACUACAAACUUAGUUUGCAAAGUGAAGCUAAGAAAGAUGAACUGAAAAGGUCAAUAGAUUUCCAUAUAGUAGUACAAUGGAGACGAAUAAUAUUUUGAAAUUAUUGUCAUAUCACAUAAUGUCGAUGAGAUUAGAAAUUUACAAUGAUCAACUUUGCGCAAGCAUUGUUUUUCUUAUCAUGUAGAAGAGACAACUCUUCUAUAGUAAGGAUUUGAAACUAUAUGAAUUGCCAGUUUUUGCUAUUAUAAGAACCUCUGAGAAUAGCAAGGAGAAGCGGAGAAGUUUAAAUCUUUUUCUAUGCCCGUGUCUUCUGUCGAGAGGCAUGUAUAUAUAUAUUUGGUUAUAUUUUUUCUUUAGGGGUAAAUAUAACUAAGUUUUUUUAUUCAUAGAUGACCAUACAACGAAACCAUCGGAGCAAUCCAUGGCUUUAAUAACACUCUUAUCCUCCAAAUACCAUGACAUACUUUGCCCAAUCAAAUCUGGAUAUACAUAAUGAUGGUCGCAUAAUAGGAAAAUAACACAGACAGGACAUGUACGCUUUCUGCAAAUAGGAUUAUAGGUGAAGCAAUUAGCAUUGUACUUUUCCCGCAAACUUUUUUUAGCACUGUACUUCACCAACCAUUCUCGUGUAGGCAUGUAUCAAUACAGCCCAGCCAACGUCCUUGCGCAUGAAGCCAUGGAUACCGAUAGUCCAAGAGGAGUCCUGGAAUAUCUCCCCUGUUGUUCUUUCGAUGCUCCAACCGCCAUCGUUUGUGAUUCUCCGUAUGGAACUGGCGGCCAAGAACAGUAUGGUCGCCAUGCACCAACUUAAGUCCAUGGUGGUGAUAAUAAAAGUGCUCCGUUCCUUCUCCUGUAACAUUAGCCUGAAGGUCAUGAACAACAACAUAUAAUGGCUGCCCGCCGCGAGCCCCGAUGGUGAUCCAGGUAGCACAUACUGCCGAUGAGAUUACAAAUUUACAAUGAUCAACUUUGCGCAAGCAUUGUUUUCCCUAUCUUGUAAUAUGUGACAUAUAUCUUAUGUCAUAGGGAUCUGAAACUAUAUGAAUUUCCUGAUUGUAAUUAAUUAAGAACCUCUGACAAUAGAAAGGAGAAGAAAAGAAGAUGUAAAUCAUUUUCUAAGCCCAUCUUAUAUAGUGUACUCGUUUAAAUGGACAAUGAAGAUAUUCGGGCCAUCAUGACACUAACGUUAUUGCUUGACUUCACAAAACAGAUAUCUAAAAGCAUAGAUUGGCAAUGUUUAGGCAUCUUUAAUAUACUAUGGAGUAUAAGAUGGUGUAACAUCAUUGGUAAUAAUUAUUGUAGAAGAUUUUGAACCAUCUAUAUAUAAUUUAAUAUCUACAAUUAGUUUAAACAUAAAUCAUAACUAAUUCUUUGGUUCAUGACUAUUAAACUAUACCUAUGUGUGAUAGGCCGCCAGUAUCGAUAUAUAUAGGACCAUAAUUUAUCUCAGAACUAUUAGCAUGUCUUGAAUGCAAGAGCAGCUAGAAGAAUAAUACACUUCUUACAAACAUAUAUAUUACUUUCUGUCAAGCAGUUGGUACAGAGUGUGCAUCAUAACCUCAUAACUGAAGCAUGAUAACAAAUAAAGGUAAGCCUUUACGCCUUUACCUUCAGAUUUUGUUGUCAGAUCUAUGUGGUUGGCUCUAGAAAAUAUUUUUCUCAACAACUCAAGAUGCCUUUACCACAAUACAGAAAGUUCACAAACCUGCUCUGAUUUCUUUGAGAGCUUUUCAUAGCCAUUACUACAAGAAAAAUAAGAUGUGAUAAUAUGCAUAUAAGGAAAUACUGUAGAUGAUUUUUUUGAGAGAUCUUUGCGCCUAUGGAAAUCGACAUAAUGGACAAAAGAGAAACUGAACUACAAAAGAAAAAUAAAGAAAACAUCUUGUAAGUAACUAUAGAUCAGACCCAUAUGGCAGUUUCUUUUUAGAAUGUGCAUCUAUCUCUUUUUUCUGAUUGAAAGGACACCGGAAGCUCGGUACACCACCAAGUAUACACAUACCAUGAUUUACCUCACACAUGUGCCAAUGGAGAGAACGGACACUGAACUGCAUAUACCUUAACAAAAAUAAAAACUGCUUGUGAAUAACUACAGAUGAGAAUGAUAUUGAGAUUUCUCCUUGGAACCUGCAACUCCUUCCUAUGUUUGAAUGAAUACCAGAAAGAUAAUAUACCACAAGUACAUGGUACCAUGAUUUUCUCAUCUGAGUUAAAAUAAUAUGAAUUUUUAAUAAAGAUUUACCUGCAGACUGCGCUGGUUGACUGGGAAUGCGUGGCCUGCUAUCUCGAGAAAUUCAUGUAUGGCAGCCUGAGCGCGUGAAGCGAGGUCGUGAAUUAUGAACCCAGCAAUCGAGUUCAUAUCAAUCUGAAAAGGUACAGUGCGAGGCAAUUGGGUUCAGAUCGAUCUGGAAAGCAAAGUUGCGAUGGCAAGAAAACCAACAGAGCGCUGCUGGAAGUAAGUUUUUAUAUCCUUCAAAUAUGUAAUGUUAUAUACUCCGUUCAUAAUUCAAUUUAGUUCACAUCCAACCAUACCUGGGCACAUGGAGUAGUGCAAGAUUGAUCAAUAAUUCACGUGUAGUUAUAGCACAGAUUCGCAACAUAGUUGACAAAGACCUUUUAACUCGAUUGCCAUCUCAGCAAAAAAAGUGCAUAGAUACUGACAGAUUGGUGAAAAAUUAAAAGAUUGGAGCUAGAUUGCAGCCAAUGUUCACCAAUUAAUUAUUAUUAGAUCAAUAAAUCCCUCCUAUUUAAAGAUAAAAUAGUUGAAACCAAAUACCUCAUAUCUAAUUUUGCGACAGACGGGAUCUAGGAGCUUAGCCUUCUUAUCGUGAAUCGUGAUAGGAUCUUUGGAUGCGAUGGAGACGUAGAGAACAACACAUCCACGGCCAGUGCAGUAGUUGAAGCUAGGGCCGACGUGAUCAGACCUAAGGUAGUGCACGGGGGAGCCCUGCAUAUAGAUCAAUCAGGUAGGCGUCAUACUGCCAUGGGCGUAGUAGGGGAGGUGCAGAUGAUAGUUGAGAAAGAUACCUUGGAUCCAGAGGAAGACUGGCAGCGGCGCAAGGUGCAGAGAACGUUGGAGACGGCUACGUGAGAUGUCAGGGACAUUAUAAUGGCGGCGGAGGUGAUAGAAGGAUCGAUCGGGGCGAGCAAGCCAUUAGAAGGCGGCGGCUGCAAUUCUUUUGGGGGCACGAUUUGUUUUUUUUAUUGAUGAAGGAAGGUCCCUGGGAUAUUUGUUUUUUUUUCUUGGUGAAGGAAGGUCCCUGGGAUAUUUAUUCUUUUACUAUUUUUAAGCUGUCUAUUCUAGUACUAUUGAGGGUACGGGAGGGUACCAUAACAUGCAGUUUUUCCUUUAAAUAAAAGGUAGGUAUUCGUGUAAUGGCAAUGGUGAGUAAUUUUCUUUCACUUAAAUCUAAUGGCUAUUAAUCUUUGAUAUAUAAAAUAGAUGGUCGGAUGUUUCUAAUUUUUAUGGGAUUUUCUAGCAUAUUUCUCUUUUAUUUGGUAAACCCAUCAAUCUCUUUUUAUAUAUAAAUAGAUUAAAGAGAACAACAGAGUUUUUUGCAAUAAUACCAUGGUGCGACGUUGAAGGCGAGAAAGGACGUGCGAGAGAGCGAUGACCGAGCCAUAGGGAAAUCAACUAGGGGAGUUGCGGGGGUUGCAACGGUGUUUCGAGUAGUUGUGGGCCGAAUGCUACGAAAAUAUAAUCUAAACCGACCGGAAUAAAUGCCUACACAAAUUAAUCCAAGGUUGGAGUGCCCCUCGCAAUGUAAAUAGCUCCGGCUUUGCGAGGGAUGGAGAGGUAGCUUCAAUGUGUGGAAGAUACGGCGUGAGAAAGCGAGGUCAAUCGAGAGACAUAUAGAUAGAGAGACAAAGUGAGUGUGGUCCGACAUUCAUUGAACAAAUAUAUAUGCUCUGGAGAGAUAUUGUCCGAUUGAGCUUUUGGCAAGGGUGAGGGCUGUAAGAUUGAGCUUGAGAGAUGAUCCAGUCACAGACGUGUAGAUAUAUUUUGUGCGUGGGAGGAAGCAAGGUCAAUCGAUCACAUAGGGUCGUCGUGCGAUCGAAAGAGUGGGACGGGUUGGAGAGAGUGACCUAGAUAGACAAUGUGCGUGAGAGAGUAUACAAUGUGAAUAAGUCGAAUUGGGCUCAAACAUGGUGAUAUAUGGUUUUUGUCCGAGAAAUAGCGAGGUCAAUCGAGACAUACAAAGAGAGAGAGAGAGAGAGAGAGAGAGAGAGAGAGAGCAUGGCCCGCCAUGAGGUCGAAAGAGUGGGGGAGGCUUCGAUGGACUGACCUAGAUAGACAAUCUGCGUGAGAGAGAGUAUAGAGUGUGUCGAUCGAGGCCCGAACAGGGAGAUAUAUCAUUUGUGUGUGAAAGAAAACGAGGUUAAACGAGACUCAGAUAAAGAGAGCGAGAUUGAGCGAGUGUGGCCCGCCGUGCGGAAGAAAGAGUGAGACAGUCUCGAGGCAGUGACCUAGAUAGACAACAUGCGUGCGUGCGCACGAGAGGUUGGGGGGCUAGAUAGGCAAUGCAUGUAUUUAGCGCGAGAGGGUGAGAGGGAGAGGGAGAGAGAGAGAGAGCUCGGCAUGGGGUGGAAUGGCGGGUGUGUGAGGUAAAUACAUUUCGUAGCAGAGUGGAAAAAGGGGGUUGUGUAGUUGAGAGAGUUAGAGAUCGAAACAUGGAGAGAAAGAAUGGAUGUGUGUUGGAAACCGAUANNNNNNNNNNNNNNNNNNNNNNNNNNNNNNNNNNNNNNNNNNNNNNNNNNNNNNNNNNNNNNNNNNNNNNNNNNNNNNNNNNNNNNNNNNNNNNNNNNNNNNNNNNNNNNNNNNNNNNNNNNNNNNNNNNNNNNNNNNNNNNNNNNNNNNNNNNNNNNNNNNNNNNNNNNNNNNNNNNNNNNNNNNNNNNNNNNNNNNNNNNNNNNNNNNNNNNNNNNNAUCAAUGUUUCAAUUCGGUGUACAUUGUAAGAUUUGAACUGAGGACCAUGCAUAUGGGUAAUUAUUUCGACUUCGUGCCAUACUAGGUUUCGAAAAGUUGACAUUGACUCGAUUUGUUGUGCUAUUUUGUAGGUCAUAUGUUUGAAUCCAUCCAAAAGUUUUCUCACUACCAUGGUGUUCAUCAUAUACAUAUCACUGGUAGAAAAAAGGCCUUUAGUCCCGGUUCGCAAAGGCCUUUAGUCCCGGCUGUGCAACCGGGACUAAAUAUGCGCGACUAAAGACCCCCCCUUUAGUCGCGCCUCUUACGAACCGCGACUAAAGGCUUUAGUCCCGGUUCUCGUGGCUAACCGGGACUAAAGGCCCGUCCACGUGGGCGCCAGGGGUCCGUCGGGACGGAGGACCUUUAGUCCCGGUUCUCGUGGCUAACCGGGACUAAAGGCCUCCUCCGCAGGUUUAGGGUUUUAGCCCCCCUAAACCUGGUUUCUUUUUAAUUUGUAGUGUUUUAUUUCUUUUAUAUUUUAUUUUGUGUUUUAUUUUAAUUUUGAUGAAGUUUCAGUACACAUAUUCUACGCUACUAUAUACAUGCAUAUGAAAUUUCAAACAAGAAGAAUUCAAGAGGAAUAUAUAAUAUAUAUUCAAUCUCGGGUGACCAUAUACAACUUCGAACAAGUUUCCAUACACAGUUAGGAUGGAUGACCAUAUACAACUUCGAAUAAGUCCUCGGUAUAGUGUUCUCCUUUAGGAUUGAUGACUUCCCUCAUGAAAAAUCCUGCUAAUUCAUCUUGAAUUGGUCGGAAGCGAGCUUCUGGACUAAGCCUCCUCCGCAAGUUAUCCGUCGCCUUCCGCACGCUAUCCGAUGCCUUCCGCUCAGAGGUGUGUCUCCGGAUGUUCUCACAAACAUAGUAUCCACAUAGAUUGGUCCCCGGUGGCUGCUUAUCCACAUUAACUAACCUUCUAAAAUCUAGCUCAUGUUUGAAUUCACCGACAAUUUCUUCUGAGAACCGUCUCCAAACCCUACAGGGCAAAGAAAAUUAAAUGAACAAGGGAGUUAUUAGUUACUUGAUAUUAGGAAAUGAACGAAAGUGACCGAUCGAUAUAGAGCUCAAAUGAUUGAAAAUAAUUACUUUUGCAGCAUUUUUCUCAUGUCGGCCCAACGCUUUGGAUCCGAAUCCAUAGAGUCCAUGAUUAGAACUCUGGAGGUGUGAAGUUCAAUAUUUAGCAGAAUCCAGUGGAACCUGCGGACACGUUACAUGCACAGUCAUGCAUAACUCAUCGAUUAGACAUACCAUGCAUGGAGUAAACAAAAGAGAAUGGGCACAAGAGAGAAACACUCACCCAAAAUGGUAAGGAAAUAGAAUAUGACUUUUGAGUUGAUGCUUUCUAAGAAACUUGUACAAGUCUUUCUCCAUGUCUUCGGGGUGAUGUUGUAACACAUAUCCAUUAACGAUAUGUGGGUCAAUGAACCCAACAUCAUGGAUGUUUCUUAUUUUGCAUUCCCAAAUCUUCAAUCUGCAUAAUAGCGUAUGCAACAAUAUAGUUAGGACAAUAUAUAUAUAUAUAUAUAGUGCAGGCAAUGAAGAACGAGAUGAGGUAGAAAUAAAUCACUUACAGAACGUAGCAACUCAGGAUAGAUUUGUCGAGCUCGCGCAGAUUGAACAGCUGGAACAAUUCACUCAUAUGAACUUGUACAGAGUACCGUUUGGUGUGAUGCUCCUCUGUAACAUCCGCAUAAACAUAUUCUUUGUCGGCCCAUGUUAUGAAUUGCUUGUACCAACGUAGCAGAUUUCGCAUUUGUGGUGGUAGACUCUUUUCCCGCGCAGGCUCGACGAGAGGCCCAUUCCGCACAUAUUGUAAUGCUAUCUCACAUACUGGCGCAUCCUCAAGGCCUAAGAAGGCACGAAGAGUCAAACCCAUCUCAGACGCUUGUUUCAUGGCACUCGCUACAGUCAAUCCAAGUGCUGCCGCAGCUGCUAUGAUCUCGGGGUCCUCUUCCGGACCGGCUUUCACUAUGAGCGGGGGGAUCGAUUGUUUAUUCUGCAUCCCGAGCUGGUCAACUAGUUUCCCGCUUUUUUUACUUUCUUCUUUCUCCUCCUUCAAUAUUUUUGCUUGCCUACGAAGUUCAUGUCCAUAGUCGUCAGGCAUAUUCAGCUCGGCUUGGGACGGUGUCGUCAAAAAAUCCUUAGCCCACUUCUUUUGCUUCUCAGUGAAUACUUGCUUGGGGUCAGGCUCUUUUUUCGCCUUCGUAUCCGCCUUCCAUUUCUCAUAAUGAGCAGACGCGGCCAAUUUGGUUUCAGCUUCACUAAGUUCCCAAGGCCUUGGGAGGAGAGGCUUCAGUGAUGGCUCCGGUACCCUUGUGGUCUUAGGUACAUAAAGGUCCGGGUUAAUAGUCCAGGAGCGGGUUUCCUUGCUGUCCGCCUGCUUCUGCUUCUUCGCCGGAGGUGGAUUGGGGGGCGUCGUACCCGCCGGAGGAGGAUUGGGGGGCGUCGUACCCGCCGGAGGUUGUGGAUCGGGGGACGGCGUCGAAUGGCGUGAAGGAGGUGUAGGUGAACCACCACGACCACCACCACCGCCACCACCACCACCACCACCACCAUCGGAGGGGGGUGGACUUGCUAGCCUUGGCGCCUCGCCUGGAAACACUAUGUACUUCUUUUUCCAUAGAAUGAUCUGGCGCUUGACAUCUCCAAGUCUUCUCUCCCCUUCGGGUGUAGCUUUGUCAAUCUCCAGGUCCUCAAACCCUUGGACUAUGUCUUCCACCGUGACACGAGCAUAGCCAUAUGCAAUGGGGUUGUUGUGGUGGAGUGCUCCAGGUGUACAGGGUAAAGCACUGCCGCUAGCUACCUUCGUGGAAACGUUCCCCACGGGAUAAUGCAGAUCACAUUCUUUCAUCUCCUUUACAUCAUCCACGGGGUAGUGAGGCUCCGGUGCACGAAUCUCGAUCAUCGGUGCACUAGCACCAGGCGGGGCAUCCGUGGAAGCCAUGCUGCUUCUCCGCUACUGGCUUCCGCGAUGCGCUUCAUGAUCUUCAUGCGGCCCUGCAGCCGAUUUUUCUUUUACUAGUGCAUGCACGGUCUGCUUCAACUCAUGGAGUUCCGAUGCAAACUUCGCCAUAAGAUCUGCAUCCCGGUCCGUCUUUCUCUUACGGCUUCUGUAACAAUAUGGGUCAUUGUCCUGGGAAAACCCUACUUUCCACGGAACUUUGCCUUUGCCUCGUACACGUCCUCCGUGUUCAUCAUUCCCGAGGGCUGUUGUCAGUGCGUCUUUCUCUCUGUUGAACUUGAUCAAGCCCUCUUGAGCUUGGGUCAUUGCGUCAAUAAGGGCUUGGGUGGGAGCAAACUUUUUCUUCCGGUGAACACACACCCCUGUCUCCGGGUCUAGCGAUCCCCCAUGCCCGUACCACCAGCUUUUGGCCCUUGGGUCCCAUCCCUCUAUACCUAGAGGGAUUCCUCGCACCCUCAGGUCCUCCUCCAUCUUCUGCCACCUAGGCUCCGAAAGGCGGUAUCCUCCUGGCCCCAUAAUAUGAUGGAACUUUUUCUUACUCGCAUUAUCCUUAUUUUUUUUGAUAUUUCCUUGAAAUGCUCCGAUUGCUUUUGCCUCACAAAUUCUGGCCAAUCAUCUUUCAGUUUCUCAUGUUGUCCAUUGAAAUCCGGAGUCUUGCCCUUGUUGACAUAUUCACGGGUUAAAUUUUUCUUGAAGUUCCGGAAUGCUUCGCCCAUCUUCUGAAGAGCGAACUCUUUAACUAGCCUCCUCCUCUCACGUCCACCCGGAACCUCGUUACCGAAUUCAUCGACUUUGUUGUAUUCCGGAGGUAGAAUGAAAUGUUCCAUAAGCUUUCUCCAGCAAUCCUUUUUCGUUCUCUUGUCGACAAAACUGAAACCAAGACGUGCCUUCUUUGGCUCCUUCCAUUCCUGGACGGUGAUCGGGACGUUGUCUCUAACAACGACUCCGCAUUGGUUGAUAAACUUUGAGGUGUGCUGUAGGGGCUUGCCGGUUUCACUGACAAACUCAAUGGCAUAUGUUUCUCCUGUUUUCAUCGCCUUGGAUUUGCCACGCUUUGUCGUACUCGAUCCGGCCGAGGGCUAAAAAAAGAAAGAGAGUCGCGCGCGUUAAUACAUAUGUAUUCACAUUUCAGUAAGUUUGUAUCACAAGAGGCUCAAUGUAUAUAUAUACCUCGCCGGAGGUGGUUGCUACUUGCAAUUCGAGAUCGUCGUUUGUUGACGAUUGACCUCCGUCGACAAUGUCCGUUCCUUCACCUUCUUGAUUAUCGCCUUCUUGAUCACCGUCAAGGUUCAGAAAAGAAGAGACUACAUCCUCUUCUUGCUCAUAUUCUGAGCCCGGCACAUAAGGAAUCUCGUUGUUGAUGAUGCCCAUUAAAUAACGUUCAGCCUCCGGAUCCCUAAGCGGCUCGGCUCUAUCAUCCGCCAUAUGUCACUCCUGCAUGUAGUAAAAAAAAAUUUAAGUAUAAAGGAAUUAAAAAAUAAGAUUAAGGGGACAUAGAGGAGGAGGAAUUAAAAAAUAAGAUUAUUGAGCACUGCCAAGUAUUUUGUUUUUCCUUUUCUUUUUCCUUUUCUUCUUCCUUUUCUUUUUCCUUUUCUUUUUCCUUUCUUCUUCCUUUUCUUUUUCCUUUUCUUCUUCCUUUUCUUCUUCCUUUUCUUUUUCCUUUUCUUCUUCCUUNNNNNNNNNNNNNNNNNNNNNNNNNNNNNNNNNNNNNNNNNNNNNNNNNNNNNNNNNNNNNNNNNNNNNNNNNNNNNNNNNNNNNNNNNNNNNNNNNNNNNNNNNNNNNNNNNNNNNNNNNNNNNNNNNNNNNNNNNNNNNNNNNNNNNNNNNNNNNNNNNNNNNNNNNNNNNNNNNNNNNNNNNNNNNNNNNNNNNNNNNNNNNNNNNNNNNNNNNNNNNNNNNNNNNNNNNNNNNNNNNNNNNNNNNNNNNNNNNNNNNNNNNNNNNNNNNNNNNNNNNNNNNNNNNNNNNNNNNNNNNNNNNNNNNNNNNNNNNNNNNNNNNNNNNNNNNNNNNNNNNNNNNNNNNNNNNNNNNNNNNNNNNNNNNNNNNNNNNNNNNNNNNNNNNNNNNNNNNNNNNNNNNNNNNNNNNNNNNNNNNNNNNNNNNNNNNNNNNNNNNNNNNNNNNNNNNNNNNNNNNNNNNNNNNNNNNNNNNNNNNNNNNNNNNNNNNNNNNNNNNNNNNNNNNNNNNNNNNNNNNNNNNNNNNNNNNNNNNNNNNNNNNNNNNNNNNNNNNNNNNNNNNNNNNNNNNNNNNNNNNNNNNNNNNNNNNNNNNNNNNNNNNNNNNNNNNNNNNNNNNNNNNNNNNNNNNNNNNNNNNNNNNNNNNNNNNNNNNNNNNNNNNNNNNNNNNNNNNNNNNNNNNNNNNNNNNNNNNNNNNNNNNNNNNNNNNNNNNNNNNNNNNNNNNNNNNNNNNNNNNNNNNNNNNNNNNNNNNNNNNNNNNNNNNNNNNNNNNNNNNNNNNNNNNNNNNNNNNNNNNNNNNNNNNNNNNNNNNNNNNNNNNNNNNNNNNNNNNNNNNNNNNNNNNNNNNNNNNNNNNNNNNNNNNNNNNNNNNNNNNNNNNNNNNNNNNNNNNNNNNNNNNNNNNNNNNNNNNNNNNNNNNNNNNNNNNNNNNNNNNNNNNNNNNNNNNNNNNNNNNNNNNNNNNNNNNNNNNNNNNNNNNNNNNNNNNNNNNNNNNNNNNNNNNNNNNNNNNNNNNNNNNNNNNNNNNNNNNNNNNNNNNNNNNNNNNNNNNNNNNNNNNNNNNNNNNNNNNNNNNNNNNNNNNNNNNNNNNNNNNNNNNNNNNNNNNNNNNNNNNNNNNNNNNNNNNNNNNNNNNNNNNNNNNNNNNNNNNNNNNNNNNNNNNNNNNNNNNNNNNNNNNNNNNNNNNNNNNNNNNNNNNNNNNNNNNNNNNNNNNNNNNNNNNNNNNNNNNNNNNNNNNNNNNNNNNNNNNNNNNNNNNNNNNNNNNNNNNNNNNNNNNNNNNNNNNNNNNNNNNNNNNNNNNNNNNNNNNNNNNNNNNNNNNNNNNNNNNNNNNNNNNNNNNNNNNNNNNNNNNNNNNNNNNNNNNNNNNNNNNNNNNNNNNNNNNNNNNNNNNNNNNNNNNNNNNNNNNNNNNNNNNNNNNNNNNNNNNNNNNNNNNNNNNNNNNNNNNNNNNNNNNNNNNNNNNNNNNNNNNNNNNNNNNNNNNNNNNNNNNNNNNNNNNNNNNNNNNNNNNNNNNNNNNNNNNNNNNNNNNNNNNNNNNNNNNNNNNNNNNNNNNNNNNNNNNNNNNNNNNNNNNNNNNNNNNNNNNNNNNNNNNNNNNNNNNNNNNNNNNNNNNNNNNNNNNNNNNNNNNNNNNNNNNNNNNNNNNNNNNNNNNNNNNNNNNNNNNNNNNNNNNNNNNNNNNNNNNNNNNNNNNNNNNNNNNNNNNNNNNNNNNNAUCAGAAAAAUAAAACUAAUUCAUUUGAAAAUCUUAAAAAUACAAAUAAUAUAUAAAAAAAUUCAGUUCAUCGAUCCCUUGAAGGUUUGACAAAAGGUUUGAUACAUCAUUCAGUUCAUCGACCAAAUACAAAUCAUCCGGAUUCGCCAUCGUACGUUUUAAUUCACAUGAUCCAUUCAACAAAGUUUGGUACAAUAAAUUAUUACACAUCAAUUCUUCGCUUGUGUCCCUGCUUGCUUACGAUUGUGCCGUAUCCAUGGAGCAUCCUCAUCAUUUAACUUAAUGCUUGGGUCAGUGUUCACUUUGAAGGGCGGAAUUUCACCAAACAUAUUAUAAUCUUCUGACAUGUCUGUCUUGUCCUCCACUCCCACGAUGUUUCUUUUCCCUGAAAGAACAAUGUGGCGCUUUGGAUCAUCGCAUGAUGUACUAAUCGUUUUCUUAUCUUUCCGUUUCCUCGGUUUGCUACUCAUGUCCUUCAAAUAAAAAACCUGAGCGACAUCUUUGUCAAGGACGAAUGGUUCGUCAAGGUAACCAAGAUUGUUGAAAUCCACCAUUGUCAUUCUGUAUUGCUCGUCCACCUUUACCCCACCUCCUGUUAGCUUGAACCAUUUGCACCGGAACAAAGGGACCUUAAAGGAGGGUCCAUAGUCAAGUUCCCAUAUCUCCUCUAUGUAACCAUAAUAUGUGACCUUUCGCCCAUUCUCGGUUGCUGCAUCAAAGCGGACACCACUGUUUUGGUUGGUGCUCUUUUUAUCUUGGGCGAUGGUGUAAAAUGUAUUCCCAUUUAUCUCGUACCCUUGGAAAAUCGUUAUAGUCGAAGAUGGUUUCUUGGCCAACAUGUACAGCUGAUCUCCAACAUCAUCAUUGUCAUUCAUUAAAUGUUUUCGCAACCAACUGCCGAAAGUCUCCAUGUGGGCCUUUCUAAUCCAGGAUUCAGGCUUCCCCAGGUUGUCCGAGUGUAAAAUAUUCUUGUGUUGCUCGAAGUACGGAGCCACCAAGCUGGAAUUUUGCAGAACUGUGUUGUGUGCUUCAGUCAUAGAAUGACCGUCCAUACAUAUCGUGGAUUUCCUUCCGAUCUUGCCUUUUCCACUUAGUCUCCCCUCGUGCCGCGAUUGAGGAAUACCAAUCGGCUUAAGGUCAGGAACAUAGUCAAUACAAAACUCAAUUACCUCCUCAUUUCCAUAGCCCUUGACGAUGCUUCCUUCUGGCCUAGCACGGUUACGAACAUAUUUCUUUAAUACUCCCAUGAACCUCUCAAAGGGGAACAUAUUGUGUAGAAAUACAGGACCGAGAAUGGAAAUCUCUUCGACUAGGUGGAGCAGGAGGUGCGUCAUGAUAUCGAAGAAGGAUGGUGGGAACACCAACUCGAAACUGACCAGGCAUUGGACCACAUCGUUCUGUAACCGUGGUAGAUCUUCUGGAUUGAUUACCUUCUGAGAGAUUGCAUUGAGGAAUGCACAUAGCUUCACAAUGGCUACUCGAACAUUUUCCGGUAGGAGCCCCCUCAAAGCAAUCGGAAGCAAUUGCGUCAUAAUCACGUGGCAGUCGUGCGACUUCAGGUUUUGGAACUUUUUCUCCGCCAUGUUUAUUAUUCCCUUUAUAUUUGACGAGAAGCCAGACGGGACCUUCAUACUGCUCAGGCAUUCAAAAAAAUGACCUUCUCUUCUUUGGUAAGAGCGUAGCUGGCACGACCUUGAAACCAUUCCGGAUGCCGGUCAUCUGGGUCUUUCAAAAGUUGCUAGUCCUGCCGUGCUUCCUUUGUAUCAUUUGUCUUCCCAUACACGCCCAAGAAGCUUAGCAGGUUCACGCAAAUAUUCUUCGUAACAUGCAUCACGUCGAUUGCAGAGCGGACAUCUAGGACUUUCCAAUAUUCUAGCUCCCAAAAUAUAGAUUUCUUCUUCCACAUGGGUGCGUGCCCGUCAACUCCCCGCGGAACUGAUUGUCCGCCAGGACCCUUUCCAAAGAUGACUUUCAAAUCCUUGACCAUAUCAAAUAUCUCAGCACCAGUACGUUCCGCAGGCUUCGGCCGGUGAUCUGCCUUGCCGUUGAAAUGCUUGCCUUUCUUUCUUACGUUGUGAUUUCGGGGAAGAAAUCGACGAUGACCCAGGUACACGUUCUUCUUACAAUUAACCAAACGUACACUUUCAGUCUCAUGUAAGCAGUGUGUGCAUGCAUUGUAUCCCUUAUUUGUCUAUCCCGAAAGGUUACUGAGAGCAGGCCAAUCGUUGAUGGUUACAAAAAGCAACGCUCGCAGGUCAAAUUCCUCUCCUUUGUGCUCAUCCCAGACACGUACACCAGGUCUGGCCCACAACUGUAAAAAUUCAUCAACUAAUGGCCUUAGGUACACAUCGAUGUCGUUCCCGGGUUGCUUUGGACCUUGGAUGAGCACUGGCAUCAUAAUGAACUUCCGCUUCAUGCACAACCAAGGAGGAAGGUUGUAGAUGCAUAGAGUCACGGGCCAGGUGCUAUGGCUGGAGCUCUGCUCGCCAAAUGGAUUCAUGCCAUCAGUACUUAGACCAAAUCUUAUGUUCCUUGCGUCAGCUGCAAAAUCUUUGAACACUCUGUCGAUCUUUCUCCGUUGCGUUCCAUCAGCGGUGUGUCUCAACUCCCCGUCGGACUUACGGUCCUCUUUGUGCCAUCGCAACGACUUGGCAUGCUUUUUGUUCCUGAACAGACGUUUCAACCGUGGUAUUAUAGGAGCAUACCACAUCACCUUGGCGGGAACCCUCUUCCUGGGUUUCUCGCCCUCAACAUCGUCACCAGGGUCAUCGCCUCUGAUCUUAUAACGCAAUGCAGUGCAUACAGGGCAUUCAUUCAAAUUCUCGUAUUCACCGCGGUAGAGGAUGCAGUCGUUAAUGCAUGCAUGUAUCUUCAGAACCUCUAAACCUAGAGGGCAGACAACCUUCUUUGCUUCGUACGUACUGGCGGGCAACUCGUUAUUCUUCGGAAACAUAUUCUUCAACAUUUUCAGCAAAUUUUCAAAUGAUGAGUCACCUACACCUUCCUGUGCCUUCCAUUUUAGCAAAUCCAGUGUGCAGCCCAGCUUUUUCAGACUAUUAUCGCAUCCUAGAUACAACGACUUUUUGUGAUCUUCUAACAUGCGAUCCAAAUUCUCCCUAUCCUUGUCAGUUUCGCAGCGUCUCCGUGCAUCAGCAAUGGUCCGACCAAGAUCAUCAGCGGGCUCAUCAUGUGCCUCUUCUUCACCUUCACCUAACCCUUCCCCACCUUCAGCAUCAUCCUCCAUGAAAGUAUCACCGAAAUGAUCAUGAUAGUUGUCAUCGAUAUCAUCCCCUUCUUCAUCUUCUUCCAUUCUAACCCCUCUUUCUCCAUGCUUGGUCCAACAAUUAUAGCUUCGCAUGAAACCGUGCCGAAGCAGGUGCAUGUGAACGUCUCUUGAGGAGGAGUAACCCUUCUGAUUCUUACAGACAGCACAUGGACAGAUAAUAAAACCUUGCUGCUUGUUCGCAUUUGCCACUACGAGGAAAUCUUUCAAACCCGUAGUGAACUCGCCGAAGAGUCGGGGACCGUAAAUCCAUUGCCGAUUCAUCUGCAUUAUUAUUAUAUAAAGUAUAUAAUUAACCAUCAUGCAUUUGUUAAACUAACUAGCUAGAAAUAAUACAAAUUAAACAAUGAACUACACACAUGCAUAUUUUAUCAAUGACACAUGAAAGGUUCAAGUUGCUAACCGCGAUCGCGGAGGAAAAAUAAAUGAGAAAGCUCAAGUGUGGCUCGGACACUUCAUAUCAUGUUUGUUUCAGGCUCUCGGGCAUUUCAUCGAACACCUUGUGUGCAUAGGAGGAACCAAAAGCAAACCCACCACCCCCUUCUGAAUAUUGUGAAGUGAGAUGAGUGAAGUGAAGUGAGCUGAGUCCUAUAUAUAGGGAUGGGCCUUUAGUCCCGGUUGGCCUGGCCAACCGCGACUAAAGGCCUUCCGGGACCUUUAGUCCCGGUUGGCCAGGCCAACCGGGACUAAAGCCCCUCCCGUCCGCCAGCUGGAUGGCCCUUUAGUCCCGGUUGGCCUGGCCAACCGCGACUAAAGGCCUUCGGGGACCUUNNNNNNNNNNAAUUAUAGCUUCGCAUGAAACCGUGCCGAAGCAGGUGCAUGUGAACGUCUCUUGAGGAGGAGUAACCCUUCUGAUUCUUACAGACAGCACAUGGACAGAUAAUAAAACCUUGCUGCUUGUUCGCAUUUGCCACUACGAGGAAGUCUUUCAAACCCGUAGUGAACUCGCCGGAGAGUCGGGGACCGUACAUCCAUUGCCGAUUCAUCUGCAUUAUUAUGAUAUAAAGUAUAUAAUUAACUAUCAUGCAUUUGUUAAACUAACUAGCUAGAAAUAAUACAAAUUAAACAAUGAACUACACACAUGCAUAUUUUAUCAAUGACACAUGAAAGGUUCAAGUUGCUAACCGCGAUCGCGGAGGAAAAAUAAAUGAGAAAGCUCAAGUGUGGCUCGGACACUUCAUAUCAUGUUUGUUUCAGGCUCUCGGGCAUUUCAUCGAACACCUUGUGUGCAUAGGAGGAACCAAAAGCAAACCCACCACCCCCUUCUGAAAAUUGUGAAGUGAGCUGAGUGAAGUGAAGUGAGCUGAGUCCUAUAUAUAGGGAUGGGCCUUUAGUCCCGGUUGGCCAGGCUAACCGGGACUAAAGCCCCUCCCGUCCGCCAGCUGGAUGGCCCUUUAGUCCCGGUUGGCCUGGCCAACCGCGACUAAAGGCCUUCGGGGACCUUUAGUCCCGGUUGGCCAGGCCAACCGGGACUAAAGCCCCUCCCGUCCGCCAGCUGUCGACCGAGCGCGCUGGGCCCAGAUAGUUGGUCGCGGGUCUCCUCCCGAACCGCGACUAAAGACCCCUUUGGUCGCGGUUCGAUUGUUUUGGGGACUAAUGGGGGCGUAUGGAAGCCUCUUUUUCUACCAGUGNNNNNNNNNNGUGAAGUGAGCUGAGUCCUAUAUAUAGGGAUGGGCCUUUAGUCCCGGUUGGCCUGGCCAACCGCGACUAAAGGCCUUCGGGGACCUUUAGUCCCGGUUGGCCAGGCCAACCGGGACUAAAGCCCCUCCCGUCCGCCAGCUGUCGACCGAGCGCACUGGGCCCAGAUAGUUGGUCGCGGGUCUCCUCCCGAACCGCGACUAAAGACCCCUUUUGUCGCGGUUCGAUUAUUUUGGGGACUAAUGGGGGCGUAUGGAAGCCUCUUUUUCUACUAGUGUAUGAAUUUGUACUAAAAAAGUAGCGUGGAUACAGUGAAAUGCGAAAUCCACGUUAGAAUUGGAGAUCGCUAUGUGACACACACUCUAAUUCAACUAACUAUGUGACACACACUCUAAUCCACGUUAGCGUGGAUACCGUUUCAAUUUUUUUCAAAUAACUCCUCAUUAAUUAAUUUAUAGUAUCUCGUUUCGAAUGACUAAUUAUUGCAAGGAAAACACGGGCAUGGUAAUACAUAAAGUUUUGUUUGCAAAUGAAAGAAGAUUCAUUUGCAUUCUCAAAUAUAGGCGCACCAGGCAGACUAGGGUCGUGUCGUGGUGGUCGCGCGUGUUGGACGGACGCGUAGCACCCAGCCACCCACCCCCUCCCCCCCAAAAAAGGACGACGACAAAAUAAGUUCGCGCUUCCACGUUUUGAAUUGAAAUAUCUGGCGGCCCCAAUUCCAGCCCUGCAAAAUUUCCCUUCUCCACCGUCCCCUUCCGCGCCCAGAUUGCUCAAAUCCCUAAUUCGCCGCCAACCCAAGCAAAGUUCGAAUGACCCCUCGUCUCGUCUCUUUCCCCACCUCUGUGCCGGACGACGACGACGAAGACGACAGUCGCGCUUCACCACCGCACCUGAGCUACCUCUUCUACGCCCUCGUCCACCGCACCGGGUUGUCCACCGACAAUGUUGGCCGCCGCAACCGACGUGCCUCACAGACACGGACUUCCACCGCAUCAGGUGCGCUUCACCGACGCCGUCUCCCAGCUCACCGGGGCUACUUCACCGAGCACAUCGUCGCGCCUCCGCCCCCCGAGGCCGUUGGGGCUUCACCAACGGUCUCGUCCACCGCAUCGUAGCGCUCCGCUGCCACUCAAGAUCUGCAUCCGUGCGCGGCCAGCCAACGCCAGCGCAUCACCCUCAACGGCUCUGAAGUGACCCGCACUCUAGCUAGGCGAGCAUGCCCAAACGCCGGCCCGAACUAGGUAUCCACACAUCACUCCCUUGUGCGCUAUUCCGACGAUGUUUGGAUAUCCUUUCACUGCUCUCUUAGCUUAGACGCCUAUCCAACUCUGACUUUAACUCUUAUUUCUUCUGGAGAUAUCAUCUGAAACAAGCAAAUCCAUUUUUUAGCGAAGCAUGACGGCGUUACGGGAUCUGGUACACAUCCUGCACACCCGUAUAACCUUGUAAGUAUCUGUCCUCCGGUACAACAGCAAGGUUGAUUCCUCUUAUUUGAUCAGCCAUUCGCCGUGUCAAAAAUGCAGAGGGGGAUGCAAGGAGCACAAGGCCUGCACAUGAGCACAUCCAAGCAAGUGGUAACAUGGACUUGUACAUGGAACAUCCCAAGCGCAAGCAGAGCUGCAGUGAGCCUGUACAAUGAGCUAGCGUAAGUCCCUGCAUUUCAUUUAAUGUUUCGCCUCCCAACCUUUUACCUCAAGGGUAAUGUCAACAGUAAUAAUUCAUGCUCAAAUAUAUUUGAAUGACCAUAUAUGCUUAGAUCUUUCCAUCACAUGAUGCUUGCCAACUAAAGAGUAGGUUGGAAUGAGAAGGAAUACUAUUGACUCUUGCAUAAAAGUAAAAGAUAGGCCCUUCGCAGAGGGAAGCAGGGAUUUGCAGAGGUGCCAGAGCUCGAAGCAAAAACAGGGAUGAAAAUAAUUUUGAGAGGUAUGCUUUCAUUGUCAACAUAACGACCAAGAGUCCCCAAUAUCUUCCAUACUAGAUACAUUAUAGGCGGUUCCCACGCAGAAAGGUAAAGUUUUUACUCCCCCUCCACCAACAUUCACACUCCACGGCUUGUCCGAAACAAUGGGUGCCGUCCAACUAUCAACAUUCCCGGGGGAGUUUUGUUUAAAUUAUUUGCGAUCUUGUUUUUGAUCCUUUGAUCAUAGGACUAGGCAUCCCAGUUACAAGCCAUUUUCUCAUGAAUGAUGAGAAUAACCCACCUAGCAUGGAAGAUACUGACAACCCCUAGUCGUUACAUGAGCGAUUUGGGCAUACAAAACAGAUUAUUAUUUGAAGGUUUAGAGUUUGGCACAUGCAAAUUUACUUGGAACGGUAGGUAAAUACCGCAUAUAGGUAGAUAUGGUGGACACUCAUGGAAGAAACUUGGUUCAAGGAAUUUGGAUGCACAAGCAGUAUUUCCGCUUAGUACAGAUACUUUGGCUAGCAAAGGAUUCUAAAUAGCAAGCACCACAUGUUAGAGGAUCCAUAACAAUAUAACUUCUAUACAAAUAUACCCAAGCAUAACUCAUUAUGUUUUCUUCCUUGUCCAACUUCAACUAAUUUGCUCAGGUGUGAAAAUAAUUAAUGGGGCUCACAAUCAUAGAAGACGUCCAAGAUAGUAUAUUUAUAUGUGAAAUCUCUCUUCCUUCAAUAUUCUUUCAUGAAUUGUUCAAGUGACCAAUACAAUGUUUGCUAACCUUCAAAAAAUUUACCACCUCUACUUCUUAUAUGUGAAGGCAUUACUCCCCAUGGGAAAGGCAUAUUAAACAUAUAUAAUUUCAGAUUUAUGACAUUCAAAUCAUUCAACCAUUUACCCAUAGGAUAUAAGUGAAGCACACGAGUAAAUGACAAACUACUCCAAAAAGAUAUAAGUGAAGAUCAAUGAGUAGUUAAAUAAUUAUGUAGCUAUGUGAAGACUCUCUCCCAUUUAAGAAUUUCAGAUCUUGGGAAAUUAUUCAAACAGCAAGCAAAACAAAAUAAAACGACAUUUCAAGGAUAGCACUCAUCAUGUGAAGAAGCAAAAACUUAGGCUCAACCGAUACUAACCGAUAAUUGUUGAAGAAGAAAGGUGGGAUGCCAACCGGGGCAUCCCCAAGCUUAGACGCUUGAGACUUCUUGAAAUAUUAUCUUGGGAUGCCUUGGGCAUCCCCAUGCUUGAGCUUUUGUGUCUCCUUAAUUCGUCUCAUAUCACAGUCUCCCUAAAUCUCAAGAGCUUCAUCCACACAAAACUCAACAAGGACUCGUGAGAUAAGUUAGUAUAAACCAAUGCAAAAACCUUAUCAUACUCUACUGUAGCAAAUCACUAAAAUUAUUAUUCAACAUUUCAUACUAAAUGCCUCUGUAUAUUUAAUACUCCUAUCAUCAAAUAUAAUCAUUAAACAAGCAAACAUAUGCAAAUAAUGCAAACAUAACAGCAAUCUGCCUAAACAGGACAAUCUGUAAAGAAUGCAAGAUACAUCAUACUUCCCUAACUCCAAAAAUUAUGAAAGAAAAUUCCCACUGUAGUGAAUUUAUCAGAGCUUAAUAUGCAAAAGGUUUCAACAUUUUAUCACAUUCUGAAUUUUCAAGGGAAUUUUUGCAACAGCGGUAAACUUUCUGUUUUGAAACAGCAACAUGUAUACUUUCAAAAUAAGCAUGGUAAAGGCUAUCCUUGACAUUUUUAUUGAAAAUAGAAAUGCAAAACAUUAUUCUAAAUAACAGCACGCAAAUACUAACAAAAUAAAAUGAUGCUCCAAGCAAAACACAUAUCAUGUGGUGAAUAAAAAUAUAGCUCCAAGUAAAGUUACCGAUGAACGAAGACGAAAGAGGGGAUGCCAUCCGGGGCAUCCCCAAGCUUAGGCUCUUGGUCAUCCUUGAAUAUUACCUUGGGGUACCUUGGGCAUCCCCAAGCUUAGGCUCUUGCCACUCCUUAUUCCAUAGUCCAUCGAAUCUUUACCCAAAACUUGAAAACUUCACAACACAAAACUUGACAGAAAACUCGUAAGCUCCGUUAGUAUAAGAAAAUAAAUCACGACUUAAGGUACUGUAAUGAACUCAUUCUUAAUUCAUAUUGGUGUAAUAUCUACUAUAUUCUAACUUCUCUAUGGUUCCUACCCUCCGAUACUACUCAUAGAUUCAUCAAUAUAAGCAAGCAACACACGAAAAACAGAAUCUGUCAAAAACAGAACAGUCUGUACUAAUCUGUAACUAACGCAAACUUCUGGAACUGCAAAAAUUAUACAAAAAUAGGAAGGCCUAGAUAAUUCGUUUAUUGAUCUUCUGCAAUUGGAAUCAAUAUUUUAUCACGUUCUGGUGAUUUUUUAACAAUUGUUUUCGUGAACAGAAAGUUUCUGGAAUUUUCAGCAAGAUCAAAUAACUAUCAUCCAAGAAGAUCCUAUAGGUUCAACUUGGCACGAACACUAAUUAAAACAUAAAAACACAUCUAACCAGAGGCUAGAUCAAAUAUUUAUUCCUAAACAGAACCAAAAAGCAAAAAACUAAAAUAAAAUUGGGUUGCCUCCCAACAAGCAACUAGCAUAUUUAAGUCUAACCCACUUCCUAUGCAUAGGGAUUUUGUGAGCAAACAAAUCAUGGGAACAAUAAUCAACUAGCAUAGGAAGGCAAAACAAGCAUAACUUCAAAACUUUAAGCACAUAGAGAGGAAAAUCGAUAUUAUUGCAAUUCCUACAAGCAUAUAUUCCUCCCUCACAAUAAUUUUCAGUAGCAUCAUGAAUGAAUUCAACAGUAUAACCAUCACCUAAAGCAUUCUUUUCAUGAUCUACUUGUGUAGAAAUUUUAUUACUUUCCACAUAAGCAAAAUUCUUCUCAUUCGGAAUAGUGGGAGCAAAUUCAAGAAAAUAACUAUCAUGGGAUUGAAAAUUGAAAUCAAGAUGACUAGUUUCAUGGUUAUCAUUAUUCUUUAUAGAAUACGUGUCAUCACAAUAAUCAACAUAGAUAGGAGGCAUGCUUUCAUCAUAAUGAAUUUGCACAUCAAAACUUGGGGGAUUAAAAAUAUCAUCUUCAUCAGACAUAGCAUCCCCAAGCUUGCGGCCUUGCAUAUCAUUAGCAUCAUGCAUAUUCAAAGAAUUCAUACUAAAAACAUUGCAAUCAUGCUCAUCAUUCACAUAUUUUAUGCCAAGCAUUCUAUGUAAUUCUUCUUCUAGCACUUGGGCACAAUUUUCCUUUCCAUCAUUUUCACGAAAGAUAUUAAAAAGAUGAAGCAUAUGAGGCAAACUCAAUUCCAUUUUUUUGUAGUUUUAUUUUAUAAACUAAAGUAGUGAUAAAACAAGAAACAAAAAGAUUCGAUUGCAAGAUCUAAAGAUAUACCAUCAAGCACUCACCUCCCCGGCAACGGCGCCAGAAAAGAGCUUGAUUGACGGGGUGUGAGUGCCGCUUACCUAGCCUCCCCGGCAACGGCGUCAGAAAAGAGCUUGAUGUCUACUACACAACCUUCUUCUUGUAGACGUUGUUGGGCCUCCUAGUGCAGAGGUUUGUAGGAUAGUAGCAAAUUUCCCUCAAGUGGAUGACCUAAUGUUUAUCAAUCCGUGGGAGGCGUAGGAUGAAGAUGGUCUCUCUCAAGCAACCCUGCAACCAAAUAACAAAGAGUCUCUUGUGUCCCCAACACACCCAAUACAAUGGUAAAUUGUAUAGGUGCACUAGGUCGGCGAAGAGAUGGUGAUACAAGUGCAAUAUGGAUGGUAGAUAUAGGUUUAUGUAAUCUGAAAAUAUAAAAACAGCAAGGUAACUAAUGAUAAAAGUGAGUGUAAACGGUAUUGCAAUGCUAGGAAACAAGGCCUAGGGUUCAUACUUUCACUAGUGCAAGUUCUCUCAACAAUAAUAACAUAAUUGGAUCAUAUAAAUAUCCCUCAACAUGCAACAAAGAGUCACUCCAAAGUCACUAAUAGCGGAGAACAAACGAAGAGAUUAUUGUAGGGUACGAAACCACCUCAAAGUUAUUCUUUCGGAUCGAUCUAUUCAAGAGUUCGUACUAGAAUAACACCUUAAGACACAAAUCAACCAAAACCAUAAUGUCACCUAGAUACUCCAAUGUCACCUCAAGUAUCCGUGGGUAUGAUUAUACGAUAUGCAUCACACAAUCUCAGAUUCAUCUAUUCAAUCCAACACUUCAAAGGGUGCCCCAAAGUUUCUACCAGAGAGUCAAGACGAAAACGUGUGCCAACCCCUAUGCAUAGGUUCAUGGGCGGAACCCGCAAGUUGAUCACCAAAACAUACAUCAAGUGAAUUAAUAGAAUACCCCAUUGUCACCACGGGUAUCCCACGCAAGACAUACAUCAAGUGUUCUCAAAUCCUUAAAGACUUAAAUCGAUAAGAUAUCAAAGGGAAAACUCAAUCCAUUACAAGAGAGUAGAGGGGGAGAAACAUCAUAAGAUCCAACUAUAAUAGCAAAGCUUGUGAUACAUCAAGAUCGUAUCACCUCAAGAACACAAGAGAGAGAGAGAGAUCAAACACAUAGCUACUGGUACAUACCCUCAGCCCCGAGGGUGAACUACUCCCUCCUCGUCAUGGAGAGCGUCGGGAUUAUGAAGAUGGCCACCGGUGAGGGAUCCCCCCUCCGGCAGGGUGCCGGAACAGGGUCCCGAUUGGUUUUUGGUGGCUACAGAGGCUUGCGGCGGCGGAACUCCCGAUCUGUUCUGUUCCUCGAAGUUUUUAGGGUAUAUGGAUAUUUAUAGGCGAAAGAAGUCGGUCAGGGGAGCCACGAGGGGCCCACGAGGGUGGAGGGCGUGCCCAGGGGGUGGGCGCGCCCCCCUGCCUCGUGCCUUCCUUGUUGAUCUGCUGACGUGCACUCCAAGUCUCCCGGAUUGCUUUCUUUCCAAAAAUAACUCUCCUGAAGGUUUCAUUCCGUUUGGACUCCGUUUGAUAUUCCUUUUCUUCGAAACACUGAAACAAGGGAAAAACAGGAACUGGCACUGGGCUCUGGGUUAAUAGGUUAGUCCCAAAAAUCAUAUAAAAGUGCAUAGUAAAGCCCAUUAAACACCCAAGAUGGAUAAUAUAAUAGCAUGGAUACUUCAUAAAUUAUAGAAAUGUUGGAGACGUAUCAGGCAUUCAUUACCCAAUAUGGGCCUUUCUGCUUUAACACUAUGCCUUUCGGGCUCAAAAACGUUGGCGCCACUUACCAACACAUGAUUCAAACAUGCUUGGAGAAACAGAUCGGCAAGACAGUUGAAGCAUAUGUGGAUGACGUCGUCAUCAAAACCAGGCACAUCGAGUCAUUGAUAGCCGAUCUACGUCUUACAUUCGACAACCUCCGUACAUAUGACAUCAAGCUCAACCCGGAAAAGUGUGUUUUUGGCGUCCCCGCCAGAAAACUGCUGGGCUUCAUCGUUUCCAAUAGAGGAAUUGAGGCAAAUCCAGCCAAAAUAGAGGCUUUAUCACAAUUGGCUACGCCAACAGACCUUAAACAGGUCCAAAAACAUGCGGGAUGCGUGGCAGCUUUAAGCCGCUUUAUCUCCAGAUUGGGAGAAAAAGCAUUGCCACUCUACCGCCUUCUCCGACGCACCGACCACUUCGAGUGGACGGAUGCGGCAACGGCCGGACUGGAGGAAAUAAAGGCCCUUUUAGCGAGCAACCCAAUCCUGGCCGCGCUGAACAUCGACGAACCCAUGUUAUUAUACAUAUCGGCAACACACCAGGUGGUGAGUGCCGGCUCGUUGUCGAGCGAGAGUAGGACGGACACAAAAUCCCACUCCAGAAACCGGUGUACUAUGUAUCCACUAUCCUCGCACCAUGCAAAUCCCGGUACCCUCAUUACCAAAAAACAGCAUACACGGUCUUCAUGGCAUCCCGGAAGCUACGACACUACUUUCAAGAGUGCUCGAUCACGGUGGCCUCCGAAGUACCACUCAAUGACAUAAUAAACAACCGCAAUGCGACAGGCCGGAUUGCUUAGUGGGCCAUUGAGCUCCUUCCAUUCGACAUAAGUGAAAGUGCUAGUUAUCGACUAGAGGGGGGGUGAAUAGGCGAUUUUUACGAAAGUCUUCAAAACACGGGGGCUUUGAAGACAAACGAUAGAAAUGAGCCUAUUGAUAUGUAGCGGAAGGUAGACUACACUAGACAAGCCAUAGUCAAGUAAGUACUGAAGUGAAAGCACGAAGACUAUUAGCAGCUAGGUAGUAUAGAUCAGGAUGGAAGAUAGUAUGAAGAUAAACAACAAUAGUUGUCACACAGUGAAGUCAAACAGAUAAGGCAAGCAUGCAAAUGACUUCACGAAGACAAACUUUAAAUAAGUGAGGGAGAAGAUAGAACCAGUAGUUUGCAGAGGACAGGGAUUUGUUGGACCAGUUCCAGUUGUUGUGACAACUGUACGUCUGGUUAGGGAGGCUGAGAUUCAACUCAGAAGACCGCAUCUUCACCUUAUUCCCCUUGAGCUAAGGACACUUAGUCCUCGCCCAAUCACUCUGGUAAGUCUUCAAGGUAGACUUCCAAACCUUCACAGACUUCGUUCACCGGCAAUCCACAAUGACUCUUGGAUGCUCAGAAUGCGAUGCCUAACCGGCUGGAGGAUUCACAGUCCUCAAGUGUAACAAGUCUUCAGGUCACGCGGACAGAAGGACUUCAGUGAUGCCUAACACUCUUUGGCUCUGGGUGUUUUGGUCUUUGUCCUCGCAAGGAUCUUUCUCUCAAAGGCUUCGAGGUGGGUUGCUCUCAAACGACAAAAGCCGUGCACUAACUCUGAGCAGCCACCAAUUUAUGGUGUAGGGGGUGGGCUAUUUAUAGCCACUAGGCAACCCGACCUGAUUUGUCCGAAAUGACCCUGGGUCACUAAGGAACUGACACGUGUCCAAUGGUCAGAUUUCAAACUCACGCGGCAACUUGACUUGGGCUACAAGUAAAGCUGACUCAUCCAGCUCUGGAUAAGAUUUGCUCUCAUUGUCUUCGCUCGAAGACAUAGGAUUUGGUUGAGCAUCACUUCAGUAACUCUGACUUUGUUCACUUGGACCCCACUUAACAGUACGGUGGUUCCUAUGACUCAACAGAGAAGAAAAGGAAACUACGAAACAACUAUGUCUUCGCACUCCAUAGUCUUCACGUGAAUGUCUUCUCGAGUCAUAAUCUUCGUUGUGAAUAUCUUCACAUACCACCAUUGUCUUCAAUGUCUUCACACAUUUUUAGGGGUCAUCUCCGGUAGGGAAACCGAAUCAAUGAGGGACCACUACCUAUGUUAUCCUGCAAUUCUCACAAACACAUUAGUCCCUCAACCAGGUUUGUCGUCAAUACUCCAAAACCAACUAGGGGUGGCACUAGAUGCACUUACAAUCUCCCCCUUUUUGGUGAUUGAUGACAAACUGGUUGAAGUUUUCAACGGGGAUAGAAGUAUGUGAAAUUGUAGGGGUUACGGUAUUGUCUUCAAAAGUAGCAAAAGGCUCCCCCUGAAGAUGUGCAUCUAAAUAGUUUGCGUUUGAAUGCAAAUGCACAUGGCAGGUUUUACUUGUGGAGAUCCUCUUCAACUAAUGAAGACAAUUCAUCAUGCAUGAAAGGAUAUAAUGAAGGUAAGGACAUGCAUAAUGAAAAAUGGACGUCUGCGGAAUGACUUCGUGCGAAAUUUAUCAUUGCAUAUGCGGAAUUUAUCGUCGCGUCACAUAGUUGACAGAAAGGUAGCAGACGACCAUCAAGUUUAAGUGUUACAACUCAAAGAACCAAAAGUAUCAAAAGCGAUAGUUGUAAACACUUAGCAAAAAGUAUAGCAACCACCCAUAAGGACCCGCUUGAAGACUAUCAACUCAUAUGCUUCUCCCCCUUUUGUCAGUAAGGACCAAAAAGGUUUGAAGACAUAGAGCUUCUACUCGUUCCUAUGAGGAGAAGGAGAAGGUGCAGGGUCGACGUUGUAGUCCGGUGGUGCAGAAGAACUUGGUGCAGUGUCGAUACGAGGCGAAGUUGUAGUUGGCGAAGUAGCAUCAUCUUCGCCAUCGAUGACUCUGGCAUUGACAGUUGCAGCUAAGCAGGAGUACUCAGAGAUCAGAGCCAGAUGCAGCAAGUUGCCUAAUGAAGAAAUCCUGAGCAUUGAAGCUGAUGCCAUUGAGGAUAUAGAAAACCAAUGUCUUCAUUGCUCCUUCAAGCUUCACUGUAGCAGAAUGUCCUUUGACAGGCCAUAGAGUUCGCCGUAUGAUAUGAUAAAUGGUGCGGGGCAGAUACUCCAGGUCUUCAACAAAGAAUUCCUUUGGAUAGUCAGCAUCUUGUGGCAGUGGCUUCAUCAUGCUCAACAUUUGGCUCAUAUUCAGCUCAGGCUUCUGGAAUAUGCUCUCCAGUGCAUUGCGGUGAAGCUGACAACCAGGUUCGUAGAGUUCACCUGGUGUGGGCAGGGCAGUAAGCUCAAUAAUAUCUUGGGCUUUGGCUUCAUGGCGUACAUUGCCUGUCAUCCACUCAAGGACCCAAGUCUUCGGAUCCCUGUUGUAGCCGCGAUUAUGAAGAGUGGCAAAGAAUUGUAGCAGAAGCUCCUCAUUCCAAUUUUCUUUGUCGGUCACAAACUGCAGAAGGCCAGCAUCUCUGAAGCAGUCUAGGGCUUCUUCCAAGCAGGGCAGACCAGCAAUGGCUUCGCAGUCUAGACGCAUAUGGGGAAAAAUGCGCCCUUGAUUGUAUAAGACACAAGAAUAAUAACUGCGCUGCUGAUAGCUCCAGAACCGAUCAGAUGAAAUUCUUGGCUUCGAAUAAGGGUUCUUGGCACUAUCAAAGAACGUGUUGUGUGCUUUGAAGCCAUUCACAUUGAACGAUCCUGGCGAAGACGCAGUACCAGGAAACCUUGGCAUCUGGGCUUUGGCUUCUGGACUUGAGGCCUGUGCUCCACAUGAUAGUCAAACUGCGGUCCGGGAGCAGCCGGAGGAACCAGAAUAGGCCAGCGGACGGUGACACGUUGACCAUGGUCAAAUGCUUGCUCAAUGGUGUGAGGCCUUGGAGGCGGUCCAGGAGCAGUGGCAUUGACCUGGGCUUCAAGCUGCACAAUGGCUUCAGGUGCAACAUGAGCUUCAGGCACCAUAUUCACUUCAGGUGCCACAUUAGCUUCAGCCAUGACCACGUCAUUGGCUUCAGUAGUGUUGUUGGUAGCCGCCUCAGUGUUUUCAACCUCCACUUGAGUAGCUGGAGGGUCGGGCACUGACUCGUUCUCCUCGAGAACAACUUCUUGGUUGGUAGGGGGUCUGGCAGCUCGCUCUUCUUCUUGACGGGGUUCUUGUUGGUCAUCGGCUGAUGCAGCCAGAAUGUCUUCAGCAGCUUUUGCUUCAGACUCAGAGACGUUCAUAGUUGGAGUGGUGUCAGGAAACACUUGUCAUGCUACUGAGUUGUUUUGCACUUCUCCUUCUGGAACGCUCGGCAGAGCAACUUGUGGCCUUGGUCCUUUGUGAAGCCUGCGGAAUGCGGGCGACGCUUUUGGAGAGGGAGUUGGCUGGACCACAUAGUCGUCAUCGUCAAGCACUGGAGUGGUGACUUGAGGUGGGGGAGUACUGGGUGAUUCUUGACUUGGUUUAUCUUGUUGGGGGUGAUCAGCCCACGAUGCAUCCUGAGCGAUUGGCGUCAAGGGACGACCAAUGCUGAUGAGUUCGCUGUUCGUGAGAACAGGCGAUGAUACCGGUUGGUGCUCGAUCUAAGGAAGGACUUCAUCAUCAUCUACAUUGUCGUGAUGACCAAUGUCUUCAGCUGUGAUGGGGUCAACAGCUGAAAUGUCUUCAGCUUCAGGAGCCUCUGUGAAAGCAGGCUCAUGAAGUACUAGCUGACGCUCUCGGUUGGUGGAUGCAGGACGAGCAACUGAGAUGGGCUCAACAACAAGGGGCUCUGAGGGAGAAGCCCGAUCUUUCUUCGAAGACUUUGUCUUCCGCUUCUUGGUUUGUGGUGCAUCCUCAGUGGGAUUCAUGUUCUUGCGCUUUCUGGCUUCGGCCUCAGCUGCCCUGGUCUUUUUCAGUUCUGAAGCAGGUGUGGGGACCUUAGGCUUCGAGCCUGUCACUACAAAAAAAAGACACAUCCGUGACAUUUUGGGCCGAACGAAUUUUUUUUCUGUCAUACUUAUGACACUUCUAUGACGAUAAUUCUGACAAAACCCGGUAUCAUCAUAGAUGUGGUGGGGUCCUACUUCUAUGAUAAAAAAUCAUGACAGAAAAUGGGCUUUUCGUCCUGGGUGGGCUGGAGAUGCAGCUGCAUGACAUUCUUUGGGCCGUCCAUGACGGAAAAAACCAUGGUAGAAGCGAGGGCAAGGAAAAUAUCAGGGUGUUCCCGAUUACGGUGGGUGGUCGGGGCCGAGCGAUGCGCGUUUCUCUCGUACACGCACGCGCGUGGGUGCGAGGCGUUGGGCUCUAACUGAACCCGAGCGAUUGCACUAUAGGCUACGCGUUUCUAAACCCAAGCGAUCGAUCGAUGGCUGUUAACUAAACCUGAUCGAGUGAUUCCUUCGCUACUGCUGCUAACUGAAGCUGAUCGAUGCUGCCUCUGGAUGAACAGUGAGUGUUGCUGGGGGGGUUUGGAUGAACAGUUCCUGGUGGGGGUGGAUGAACAUGACCACGUGGUGUUGCCUCUGGAUGAACAGGACCCCGAUAGAUCGAGCCGGUUGGGGCUGGAUGAAUAGGACCCCGUGGAGGGCAGGAUGAACAGGACCACCCCGUGCAGGGCUGGAUGAACAGUAGAUGGUGGAGGGCUGGAUGAACAGUAGCCCGUGGAGGGGUGGUUGACCAAGAGCCCGUGGAGAGGGCUGGUUGAACAGUAGCCGGUGGAGUAGCGCGCGGUGGAGGCUGGAUGAACAGGAGCCUGUGGAUGAAUAGUCGCAGGUGGAGGCUGGAGGAGGUCGACGGUGGAUGAACAGUAGCCCAUGGAGGCUGGAGGGGGUCGACGGUGGAGAUGAACUGUAUCCCGCGGAGUCCCGUUUUGCGGUACGCCACACCCCUCCCGAUGAACAGGACCCCCGUUUCGACCGUAGCGCUCCAACACAAGUCCGUUUCCCCCGUUUUGCGGUACGCCACACCCCUCCCGAUCAAUAGGACCCCCGUUUCGACCAUACACUACAAGAAAUAUGUCAACUUGUGACCUUCUCUUAGUGACCCCAGCUGAAAUGGUCGUAAAUCCAUGGCUAUUUCGCUUGGAGGGCUCAAACCCUGAAAUUGCCUUACACCAAAUGGUCAUAAAGCUGACAAGAGUUUUCCAUGACCUUAUUUCUACCUGAUUACGACCAAUAUAAAUGAUCAUGAGGUUGUGAACGUGGAUGCAUUGGUACUUAUUGCUAUGACUAGGUGCCACCUCUUCAGUUUUGCCUAUGUGUCAUGUCCAUGUGUCAAUUUUUGCCCUAGGUUGUGAAGCAACCUAUAUUUCUGUCAUUCCCAAAAUUCCAAAAAAAUCUCAUAAAUUCUUUGGGUCAUAUGUUUGUCAAAUAUGUAAAAAUCCUUCCUUGCCUAGUUCAAAACUAAUUCAACAAUAUUCAUUUUCCUAUUCUGUUCAUAAUAUCACUUUGUGAAGGAAGUGCUAUUUAUAUAUUCUUGAUUGCCCUCAAAAUUGUUGGGCACUCUUUCCUAUCCAAAUCAUUGUCUCAUGACAAAAUUCAACUCCAUUUGCCUAGCAAAUCUUUCUGGGCAAAUUUCCAAAGUUUUUGUCCACCUAGAAGCAUUGUGAAGGAAGUGCCUUUUUUAUAUAUCCAAAUGACAUGAAAUUUAUACAGUUCCUUCAUACGCCAAAAUUAUCACCCUCCUCCAAAUUGCAGCUCAGUCAAAUCAUCUAUGUGAGCCCAGGUUCAAUUUAUAUUUUAUGGCCAGAUUGGCACGUUCAAAGCAAGUGUUUUCUAGACCCCUCCUAUUACCCUCAAACUUUUUGGGCACUCUUCCAUACCCAAAUCAUUACCACAUGAUAAUAUUCAGCUCCAUUUUCCUGGUAAAUAUUUCUCAGGAAAUUUCGAAAGUUUGUACCUCGAGAGAAGCUUUGUGAAGUAAGUACUAGCUAGGCUUACCCAAAUGAUCUAAAAACUUACCAGCGCAUGACCAUACAUAUGUAACUUACCUACACCAAAUUUGAGCUCAUUUCAUUCAUCCAAUUUCUCUAGCUAAUUUUCCCAAGUUUUUGUCCAAAGAAGAGCAUUGUGAAGGAAGUACCACUUUGGCAUGUCCAAAUGGUAUCAAUUUUCUACAGUGCUUCCGUAUGCCCAAAUAACCAUCCUCCACCAAAUUUCUACUCAAUCCAUUCAUUAUUUUGAGCCCAGCUUCAACAUUCAUAUUUUUGUCCAGUGUGGUACUUUGCAAAGCAAGUACCACCUAGUAUCCUCCUUUUGAGCUGAAAAUUUGUGAAGACAUUCUUCUUAGUAGAUGAUCAUCCUCAGCCAAAACUCACGCCCAUUGCCCAUGUGCAUUAUCCGUAGUGCUAAUCAAACACUUGGCUGCUAAUUCAUCUUUGAGCAUAGGUCGGUCUCCUCGUGAGAUUCUUCUAUUGUAAUUUUCUUCCUAGCACCUACCUGGGCAGUGCCCAACCUACUAGACAUGCCUAGGCCUCCCAGAACGCAUGUCAACGCCAAGGUCACACGGUGACCACGCGGCGGGCAUGCGAGUUUACGCGCUUCGGAGUUGGGGCCCUGGGCCACCGUCCAAACCUCGACGUAUCGCCACCAAACCAUGUAAUUAUGCUUAAAUAGAUACUUAUGUAACUAUAAAUGAUUUUUGGAAAAAAUAAAGAGAAAACAAUAAGGUAGCUGCAGUUCAAAUUUGACCCGCUUCCUACUAAAUCGGCGGAAAUUUGUCUUUUUCACCAGAGGUGGAUCAAAACUUUUGAAACUCAACCAAUUUGUCAAUUGUGCAUUAAAUAUGGCCUAGUAUUUUAUAAAAUUGAUUAGGUCCAAUUUUGCAACAAAUAUAUGGUAGGUCCUUCAUAAAAAAAACUCAUUUCGGGCACUCGAAAAAUGGAAAAUGUAUUUUCCGUGAAAAGAAAAUGAAAACUCCCUUUGGCAACAUUGUUUGGAAUUCCAAGAUGCACCCUUGUGCAUAAUAUGAGAUCAUUUGAACAAACUAUGCCAUGAAUGUGGCCAUAAGGUUGAUCAUUUGGCUUGAAAGCCAUGAAUAUUCACACAUGAUAGCUCAUUUCUGAGAACACUUUUUAAAAUAAUUGCCGUAUUACAAGUUUAUUAUUUUUCCUGGUAACUUGGUCACAUAUAAUGACACAAUGCGAAGGUUUUCCAAUUUUUUGAUUUUUUUGAUUUUUUUAUGCCCGUUUGAAAAUGCUGUCAAAACGGCGGGAAUGACCGUUCCUAGCUAGUGGUUGAAUCUUGGAUUUUUUGGUAUUUCUGUAAUUAAAUAGAUACUUUUGUACCUAGAAAUGAUUUUUGGAAAAAAUAAAGAGCAAACUAUGAGGCAGCUUCAGUUCAAAUUUGACCUGCUUCCUUCUAAAUCGGCGGAAAUUUGUCUUUUUCACCAGAGGUGGAUCAAGGCUUUUGACACCUAACCAUUUUGGUCAAUUGUGCAUUAAAUAUGUCCUAGUAUUUUAUAAAAAUGAUUUGGUUCAAUUUUGCAACAAUUAUUUGGUAGGUCAUUCACAAAAAACCCUCAUUUUGGGCACUCGAAAAAUGGAAAAUGCUUUUUUCGUCCAAAGAAAAUGAAAACUUCCUUAGGCAACAUUGUUUGCCAUUCCAAUAUGCGCCCUUCUGCACAAUAUGAGAUCAUUUGAACAAACUAUGCCAUGAAUGUUGCCAUAGGAUUGAUCAUUUGGCUUGAAAGCCAUUGAUCUCCACACAUGAUAGCUCGUUUCUAAGAACACUUUUUUAAAACAAUUGCCGUAUUACAAGUUUAUUAUUUUUUGUAGUAACUUUGUCACAUAUAAUGACACAAUGCGAAGGUUUUCCAAUUUUUUGAAUUUUUUUGAAUUUUUCAUGCUCGUUUCAAAAUGUGGUCAAAACUGCGGGCAUGACCGUUCCUUGCUAGUGGUUGAAUCUUGAAAAACUUUUGAUGUUUCUAUGAUUAAAUAGAUACUUAUGUACCUAGAAAUGAUUUUUGGAAAAAAAUAAGGAACAAACUAUGAGACAUCUGCAGUUCAAAUUUGACCCGCUUCCAGCGGAAUCGUUGAAAAUUUGUCUUUUUCACGAGAGGUGCAUCAAAACUCUUCACACCCAAGCAUUUGGUAAAUUUUACAUUAAAUAUGACCUAAUACUUUAUAAAAAUUAUUCGGUCCAAUUUUGCAACAAAUAUAUGCUAGGUCAUUCACAAAAAUGCACAUUUUGGGCACUCAAAAAAUAAUUAAAAAUAGAUAGAAAGAUCAGAAAUGCAUACGAAUUGGUGCUCAUCCAUAAAAUGUGGUCUAACUUGACUGAAAAUUUGUGUGAUACCCUUUUGCAAAAUAGUUUUGAUAGCUACUUCACAAAAUCCCUCUAUUUUUAGUAUUUGGAAACUAUUUUAAAUCACUGAUUUUCCGAACCAAUCAAAACUCUUCCCACGGUUCGAUGACAUGGCGCCCAUCCAUCCAUCCAUCCAUCCAUAUCUCCAUCCCACAUCCAUCCAUCCAUUCAUCUACAGAAAAAAAAGAAAAAAAGUGAUACCCCCCGCAGCCCAAACCCUAGAUCAGAUCCCCCCAUCGCACCCCUCUCCCUGCUCCCAAUCUCCCCGCCGCCGCCGCCACCUCCUCCCCAUACCCGCGCCCCUCCCGAUCUCGCCGUCCUCUCCCACCCACCGCCGACCUUGCCGUCCUCCUCACCCACCGCCGACCUCGNNNNNNNNNNNNNNNNNNNNNNNNNNNNNNNNNNNNNNNNNNNNNNNNNNNNNNNNNNNNNNNNNNNNNNNNNNNNNNNNNNNNNNNNNNNNNNNNNNNNNNNNNNNNNNNNNNNNNNNNNNNNNNNNNNNNNNNNNNNNNNNNNNNNNNNNNNNNNNNNNNNNNNNNNNNNNNNNNNNNNNNNNNNNNNNNNNNNNNNNNNNNNNNNNNNNNNNNNNNNNNNNNNNNNNNNNNNNNNNNNNNNNNNNNNNNNNNNNNNNNNNNNNNNNNNNNNNNNNNNNNNNNNNNNNNNNNNNNNNNNNNNNNNNNNNNNNNNNNNNNNNNNNNNNNNNNNNNNNNNNNNNNNNNNNNNNNNNNNNNNNNNNNNNNNNNNNNNNNNNNNNNNNNNNNNNNNNNNNNNNNNNNNNNNNNNNNNNNNNNNNNNNNNNNNNNNNNNNNNNNNNNNNNNNNNNNNNNNNNNNNNNNNNNNNNNNNNNNNNNNNNNNNNNNNNNNNNNNNNNNNNNNNNNNNNNNNNNNNNNNNNNNNNNNNNNNNNNNNNNNNNNNNNGCUGCGGAACCCCUUCCUACCGAUGCACCAGCCGUGGGCGUCGCUGCUGGUGCACGGCACCAAGCGCGUGGAGGGCCGCUCCUGGCCUUCGCCGGUCACCGGCCGCCUCUGGAUCCACGCCGCCUCCAAGGUGCCCGACCCCGACACUGUCGCCGCCAUGGAGGACUUCUACCGGGAGAUCUACGCCGUCGACGGGGUCCACCACAUCGACUUCCCCCAGCACUACCCCGUCUCCUGCCUCCUCGGUCCGCAUCCAUCGUCUUCCUUGCUAGUUACCGCCGCCGCCGCUAUUCCUCUCAGCUUGCUGACGCCAUUGCCGAUUAUUGCUCAGGAUGCGUCGAGGUGGUCGGCUGCGUCAGGUCCGAGGAGCUGGUCUGCUGGGAGGAUGUGCCUCAAUCAGUAAGACAACUUCAUUCCUCUCCUGUCCAUGGCCUGGAUUUCUACAGCUUGUCAUGUCAUGCCACUCAAAACAUUGGUUAGGGCCUGUUCGGAAUAGAGCCGUGUAAAACAGAGGAAAGCAAAAUAGUAGACGAACGUGAUUAGCAGCUAGUGGCAAAACAGAGGAAUAAAAACAAUGAAAUGUUAUAUUUAGCUAAGCUUGUUAUUUUCAUACUAAAUGAAUGGUAUUUCAGUAGGAGUAAUAUUAUCUUAUUGUGGAUGACACCACCAUUCUAUCUACAACACUUGCUCUGGCAAUUAGCAGAGAAUGAAUUAAUUUGACAACUUCCAGCGGAUGUUUAUUAUACUAUUGAGUUGAAUUCAUGUACUGCUAGCUGCAAGAUGCUAUAGUCUAGAUACAUGAUGCAAAGUAUGUUGUAUUUACACACUUACAUCCAACUGCAGUAGCAGCAUGGGCGAGUUGAGGUGGGGGACAGAGAGGCUGUGUUGUGUGGGUUCUGAUCAUGGUAUAGCAGCACACUUUCCAGCGUCGAUUUAAGCAAACGAUGAUGCAAGGCUCCUCCUCCUUGUACUGCAUGUCUUCAUCGACUUGAUUCUUUGACAGGGAGAUAUUUAAAGCCUUCACUUGUUCAUUGUGUCAUCUGUUGAUUACUUUUUCUAUUAUUUUCUUGCAAAGCAUGUAAUGGUUUGGAGUAGUUGAUCAUGGCCUGAUGGAACAUUCAUGUUGUUAGCAUGUAUAUAUCUACACUAUUACAGCAGCUUGUUGAUCAAGCACUUCUUUCUAUCUAAAUGUGUGCACAGAAGUUCAGUUACCUUCUAAAACAUUAUUGGUGCACUAUAUAUAUAUACACACUAUCUAUAUAUAUAUACACUAUUAUAGCAGCUUGUUGAUCAAGCGCUUCUUUCUAUCUAUAUAUAUACACUAUCUAAAUUGUUUGCAACAACAUUAUGCACAUGAGGCAGGACUACACAAGUGAAUUGUCAUAGUAAGGUCCUUCCAUGGAUUUCAUGUGGCUCCUUGAGUUGUAAGAUGCAGCUCCAACAUUGAAUAUAUUUUGAAUGUUUCCAAAGAUACUCUCUGUUACGUUUACUUCAAUAUAUACAUGCAUGUUACUAAUAGAAGCUGGCUGCAAGAAUCCGUACACAUAUAUACUCUCUUGUACAGUACAUUGCUAGAUCACUCACUAGGCAUUAUGUAAUACUACUAGGAGAUAUGGGUGAGGGACUAAAAGGAUGAUACGCUUCCAUGAAUUUAUUUGUAAGAAGUUUUUCUUGGCUGUGUACAAAUCAGCCCAAAUGAAUUUAUGUUCUUUUUACUUCCAGAGUUAUAGUGCACUCAUACUGUCAUCACAUUGCGUGUUCUUGCUGCAUAUACCUCUCUAUUUGCUUAGGCAGACAACUACUUAUGUAAUAUGCAAACAACAGCAACAGAGUUAGUGAUGCUAAUUCUACCUCUUGUUACAGAAUCAGAAUUCCUCUUGUUGCACAGGACAACUCCGUUUCCUCUUGUUAUAGAAUCAUAAUUCCUCUGCUUCUUAUGCUACUCUGCUAGAACUCUGCUUUUCUACUUGUCAUGUUGAAUAUACAUGUUCUAAACAUUAUACAGUACUUUCGUUGUUAACUCCAAACAACUUGGGAUCUUCUCUUCUGCAUGCAGCAACUGCCUUACCAGUACGCCGCCAAGGGGGCAUGCCUUGCCCUGGUAGCAAGGAGGGAGUGGAGCCUGUGGCAGGUCGCCGACCACGCCUUUGAGCUCGGCGCGCCGGACGUGAUCAUUCACCCCGGGGACGUCGCAGACCCCGACGACUACAACAGAUUUAUUCAGGCCACAGUCGACCACUACGACCAAUGUAAGUCAGCCCCUCUCCGUUACAACAAACCUAGUUUAACAAAUUUCUUCCAUAAGCAUUCAUUCAUUUGGGUGUAAGAUAGUUGACAUUUACACUUGUAUAUGUUUAUCAGAAUAUUGAUACUUUGCAUGCUAUGAGUAAAAUGCUCUAUUUUCUUUCGUCACCUUUCUUGUAUGAAUGAUUAUCUCAUUUUAACUUGCUGGAGAAUGAAAGCAUUGUACUAGCUGAAUUUGUCUUAUCAUUCUAAAGAACUUGUUUGUUUUUUGAUUGGUUUGUUCAUAAUAUAUUGGCCCCAAAUUUUUUGAUUCUUCUCUUUUGGUUCAUGUAACAGGGCGACCGUGGAAGGCAUGAUGAUAGUUCAUAUUGUCAUUCUGUUAGUCCAGUGUAAUGAAGGUCAUGGCCUAGUCAAGUAUGGUCGCCCAUUGAGUCAUGCAUAUGUUUCAUAUGAUUGGAGCAGGGGCCCAGUUUGUGCCGAUUGUCACUGCAUAUGUUUAACAGUGAUUCUACUUGUAUAUGUGUUAUUACACUAGUAGAAUUUGUACCUGUGCGAUGACUGGAGCAGGAUCCCAAUAUUUGUAGAGAUUGUAACAUUGAUUGUCACUGUAUACAGAUUGAUUCUGGUUGCUGUUACUUGAAGUAUUUCUUAUGUUUUAUGUCUGUGUUGUUUUAAAUAUUGAUUAUUUAUUUACUGUCAAAUCAAAAUCAGAAGAAAAAGGCAUUGACAAAAGGGGCCCACUUACUAGAACUUGACCACUGGGACCCAUCUAACUAGAGGAUUUUCUCUAAAAAACAAAAAUAAAACUGUCUAGCCGAAAAGGCCAUGGCCCAAAAAUGAGAAGGCUUAAUUAUUGGGC